rnacentral:lncRNA from 1 species
UGCUAUUGUCACACGAUCCCGUUUAAGUGGUUCAACAACUAGUUCUUUACUUACCAAGAUGCCACAUGACUGUGUUCCUUUUUUGGAAUAUGACCUUGCUCAAAACCCCAGUAAUCGGGACUUGGCAAUUCCUCUGGUAUCUACUCAUGUUCCUUACACUUGUUUACCUAAAUCUAUCAUUUCUUCUAGUUGCAAGAUUAUUUACAUUUGCAGGGACGCAAAGGAUGCUUUUGUUUCUUUGUGGUACUUUCUUGCCAGGCUGCAAAUGUCGAAAAAUGUUGAACCUCUUCCUCUGGAAGGGGCAUUUGAGUUGUUUUGCAAUGGAAUUGCAAAUUUUGGACCAUAUUGGGACCAUGUUUUAGGGUAUUGGAGAGCAAGCUUCGAGUUCCCUGAGAAGAUAUUGUUCUUGACAUAUGAGGAAAUGAAGCAAGACACAGCUGCUCAUGUUAAGAAAUUAGCUGAGUUCAUGGGUUGUUCUUUCACCUUAGAGGAAGAGGAGGGAGGGGAGGUGCAAAAGAUAAUAAGCAUGUGUAGUUUUGAGAAGUUGAGCAGCUUGGAGGUCAAUAAAAAUGGGAAGCACCGUCCGGACACAUCACUUGCUAUUCAAAACAGUGUAUACUUCAGGAGAGGUGAGAUAGGCGACUGGGCAAAUCACUUGACACCUGAAAUGGGAGCACGUCUAGAUGACAUAAUGGAGCAGAAACUCAAGGGUUCAGGCUUGAAGCUGCCCAGGUGACUGUGCCUAGGGUCCCAUUUGCUUAUGAUUAUUGCCCAAGCGGGUUCAUCAAAAGCUGUUAUCAACAUCUCGUGAAACAGAAACUGUGUAUCCCAAUAAAUACCCUCUUUGUUCAUCUCUUGUAUUUCCUAUCAAGUAUUCACAUUUUGUGAAUCAUCCAUGUCAAUAAGCAAUGUUCUUUUGUGAAUCUGUGUUUGUGACUUUCAUUGAUUUCCUUGCAUGCUUGUAAGAAUUCAAAAUGGGAUUCGUUUUUUUAUUUAUUUAUUUAACACAAGUGCAUGCAUUCCAUUAAUCAGUUGGAUAAAAAAUAAAUUUACUCUAAUAUAUAAUAUUAGAGUGUUUUCUUCACAGAAAUUGCAGUGUGUUUUCUUCACAGUUAUACAUGUUUUAAAAGAACCGAGACAACCCAUACAUGAGGGCGGAGCAAAGACCAACCGAGACAACCAUCCAUUAAGAUUGUUGAAUUGCAGAUCAAAUGAACGUAGGCGGCACAUCUGCUGGAAGGAUCUCGAAAUGCCUUGUAAUUGGUUAAAAUAAAGAUCAAGAUCUGUAGGAGAACUCGUGUUUUCCACUCCUAAAAUAAGCCCAGUUGCCGGCUUCAUGUGCAACAGAGGCACAUAGAGAAUCUGAAAGCAGUUUUUAUGCACUAUCAGCAGAAUAAUUUGAUCAGUCAGAAUGAAAACCCCCCCCCCCAGGCUCACAAAUCUUCUUACUUCAAACAAAUCUUUUGGAACCGAUAUAUAUGUCGAGUGAUGGCUUGAUUUAUACCGGAGAUUGUGUUGGAAAAUUAAAGAAGCAUGGCUUAAUUUGUACCUUGGAUGCGCAAAUUGAUUACAGGGAAAAAAUGACAGAAAGUGAGUUGCAGGGAAUGAAAAAGGCAUUAGUAAACUCAACACCUUUCAGGGUAUCGUUCCUUGGUUUGCUCCCUUUUAUUUCUUAUUUUGUUUUUCCUGCCAUUGUCUAAUGUUUUUCUAACUCGCAGUCUGGUCUCUGCAGAGAAUGAGAAAGCACAAACUCUUUAAGAGAAGAUAUUCUCCGGCAAUGGCAUCAAACAGAAAAGUCCGACGUCAACUAAGUGAGUGUAUAGCGUUGCUGCUGUGUUUACAGAAAAACACCAUUGUCAUGUGUUUGGUUACGGUCUAAACAUAAUUUUUUAUCGGUGAGACCCAUUACCAUUUGCAUUUAAACCGCAAGAUAACCAGAAGCAACUUUAAGCUGCGUUUUGUUUUGAGUUGCAAAUUGUGUUAUAAAUAGAGGCCACAAGAAAAAGAGCAGAAACAGAGCAGUGAAUAGUGAUUAGUGGAGAGCAACUCCCUCUCACCACUGACCUCCGCCAGCCACUGCUUUUUCUCUUCUCCUUCUCUUCUCGUUCUCCUUCGUCUUCUGCAUUCUCUACUGUUCACGUGAACAAUGGAGAGUGGAGAGCAGCUCACCAUCAACCCCUGCUGUUUCCACCGCCAGCCACUGCUCUUCCUCUUCCCCUUCUCCUUCGUCUUUUACGUUCUCCACUGUUAAUGUGAACAGUGGAGAGCAGCUCACCACCGGCCUUCACUAUUUCCACUGCCAGCCACUGCUCUUCCUCUUCCCCUUCCCCUUCUCCUUCCCCUUCUCCUUCUCAUUCAUCUUCUGCAUUCUCCACUGUUCAUGGCCGGACUGGGCCUAGCCCAAACCUAAAUGUAUUUGACUGGGUCCGACCCAGUAAAAUAAAAAAAAAUCCAAAUUUUUUUUCUUAAAUAUUGUGUUUUAUUUGAAAAACUAGUGUUUAAAAUUAUUCAAUGACACUACAUAAUUAUAUUAGAAGGAGAUCGCACGAUGACGUAGCAUGUGCAGAAUUUGAUUGCAAUCCUAAUUUUUUUCCUAAUGAUAUUUUACAUGAUGUAAUGAUAUCUUACCUGAUGUUGGUGCAAGUUCAGGAAGCCAUGGAAACUGUAGUUCUUGUCGGAUGGAUUUCGUAUAUGAUUGAAUUGCAAAUAGUUUAAUGGAACAAUAAAAAAUACUUUAUAUAAAGUAUUGUUUAUUUCAUGAUGUAAUAGCAGUAGUUAAAUCUAUAAUAUUUCAAUUAAAAACCAUCAAUAUUAAUAUAUGUCUUUUUUAGUUAUUUUAUAACCUCAAUUUGAAAAGUAUUCUUUAACCAAACACAUUAAACUACUUUUUGUUCAACCUCAAUUUCAACCACAGUUUUAACCAAACAUAUAUUUUUCCAAACUAAUCUAAACUAAAAGUAUUUUUUAUAAAAACAAUUUUUUUCAAACCACAACAGCUACCACAAUACCAAACACACACAAAAAAAACUGUACUGAUAAGUAAGUUACAAUGCCACCACUGAUUUAGGAUCUGCUUUAGAUCUUAUAAGGUGAAAGUUGAAAGCUAGCAAGAAUCGUCACAGAGAUGAACAGAGAAGUGAAUAGAAUUAGAGGGAGAUACUGCAAUGCAGAGGAAGAAGAAAAACAUUUCUGUGUAUAUUCACUUAUAUUUUUUUACCAGCGCUGUUACAUUCAUUUUAUAUGAACCAAGAUGAGAAGCUUGUUUACGUAAUCUAAUCAACAGUAACAGACUUUGUUAACUGUCUAACAAUAUUAACAAACUUUCUAACCAUUGUAUUCUCUAUUCUCUUGACAGGUGGCAGAAGCAGAGCCUUUGAUAUCUUGACAUUCCCCCUCAAUCACAAGCGUGAAGGAACCAAGCAUAAGAUUGGAACAGUGACGCCGAAAUAAAGGAGUGGAAAGACCUUUAGUUAGGAUAUUAGCAAAUUGAUCGGUAGAAGAGACAUGUUGAACCAACAAAUCACCUUUGACAACACGUUCUCAAACAAAAUGAUAAUCAAUUUGGAGAUGCUUCAUUCUGGAAUGGAAGACUGGAUUGGAAGCAAGGGAAAUAGUUGAGAUAUUGUCAUAAUGAAUUAACGGAGGGAUAUGUAAAGGAAUGUGAAUGUCACAGAGCAGUUGGCGAAUCCAGGCAAGUUUGGCAGCAGCAAUUGCUAGAGCCCGAUACUCAACCUCAGUAGAUGAUCGAGAAACAAUAUGUUGUUUCUUAGAAGCCCAAGAAAUAGGACUGGAGCCGAGGAAAACAAUAGAGCCAGAGACAGAACGUCGAUCAUUGGGAUCGCCAACCCAGUCAGCAUCACUAUAAGCUUGUCGAUUAAGAAGACUAGGCUGAAAAUGAAGGCCAAAAUCAAGGGUACCUUUAAGAUACCGCAAGAUUCUUUUGACAGCCACAACAUAAGAAUGCAUGGGAUUAUGCAUAAAUUGACAAGCUCGGUUCAUAGAGAAAGCAAUAUCGAGCCUGGUGAACGUGAGAUACUGCAAUGCGCCAACUAUGCUCCGAUAUUGUUGUGGAUGAGAGUAGGCUUAGCCAUCAUCUUUGAGCAAAUGAUGAUGAGGAAGACAAGAAGUAUCAAAUGAUUUGGAAUUUUGUAAAUCAACUCUAGCAAGUAAGUCUGUGAUAUAACUUAUCUAGGACACAAACAAACCAGAAGGGAGAUAAGAGAUUUGCAAUCCCAAAAAAUAAUUCAACUUACCGGUAUCCUUCAUAUCAAAUUUCUGAGUCAAGGCAGCAAUGACUGAAGAAAGAAGAGAAUAAUGACUGCUAGUAAGAAUGAUAUCAUCUAAAUAGAGUAGCAAUAUCACAACACUAAGAGAAGAAUGCUGAACAAACAAAGAGGGAUCGACAAGAGAUGCUUGAAACCCCAAACAUGGUAAAAAAACUGGUAAAACGUUCAUUCCAGGCACGAGGAGCCUGUUUAAGGCCAUACAAGGACUUUCUUAGUCUGCAAACAAAGUUAGCAGGAUAAAGCUUACUCAUAAAACCUUGGGGUUGAGUCAUAUAAACCUCCUCAUGAAGAAUACCAUGCAAAAAGGCAUUGGUAACGUCAAGCUACCGUAAGGACCAGUUAAACUGAGCUGCAAGAGUAAGAAUUAAACGAACCAUAGUAGGUUUUAUGACAGGACUGAAAGUUUCAUUAUAGUCAAUUCCUUCCUCUUGAAUGAAACCCUUAGCCACCAAUCGAGCUUUAUGCCUAGCUAUAGAACCAUCCGCAUGCUUCUUGAGUCGGUAGACCCAUUUACAGCCAACAAGAUUCUUAGCAGGUGGGAGAGGCACCAAAUCCUAAGUACCUUAUGCAUGAAGAGCAUCAAUUUCCUCCCACAUAGCAGACUGCCAUUCUGGAAAGGUUGAAGCAGCCUUGAAGGAACUGGGUUCAACCUGAGAAAAAGCAACAGACUAUACAGAGGUAAAGUAAGCCUUUCUUUUGGAAAUACCAUUCUUAAACCUGAUGGUCAUUGGAUGAAGAUUCAUCGGUGAAAGAGGUAAGACCACACACAGAUUCUCAGGUUGGAAGUCAGGAUCAAAUCUAGUGACAAAGAAGCGAUUGGUUUGAAUAAAAAAACAGAAAUACCCUUUAUACUGACCAGCAUACCCCAGAAAAAUACAAGUGGAAGUUUUGGGCUGAAGUUUGUUAGUAUUAUAAGGCUUGAGUAAAGGAAAACAAGCACAACCAAAAAUCCACAAAUGAGUAAUGACCAGUGGAGAACCAUAUAACAGGAAAUAAGGUGAUUUGAGUUGAAGAAUUUGACAGGGCAUUCUAUUAAUCAAAUAAAUAGAAGUAGCACAAGCACGAAACCAAAAUUUUGGAGGUAAAUGGGCAGUUUGUAACAGAGUGAUGGCUGUUUCUAAAAUAUACCUAUGUUUGCGCUCAGCAAGGCCAUUCUGUUUCGGAGUAUAGGGACAGGACAUUUGAUGGACAAUACCCUUGGUAAAGAGGUAAUGUUUGAAUUUAGUACUAAGAUACUCACCACCCCCAUCACUUUGAAAGACUCGAAGAGUAGCAGAAAAUUGAGCAACUAAAAAGGUAUGAAAGUAGGCAAAAAUGGAAUAAACCUCUCCUUUAUUGAUCAUCAGAAAAAACCAAGUAAAUCGAGUACAUUCAUCAAUGAAACUAACAUAAUAUCUGAAACCUUCAACAGAUACAGUGGGAGAAGAACCCCAAACAUCACUAUGUAUGACCUCUCAAGGUUUAACAAAUUUAACUGCGGGAUAGGGAAAAGGAAGUUUAGCAAGUUUACCCUCUAAAAAAGUGGUACAAACGAAUUUGGAUGUGUUUGAAGUGAAAGAAAUCUGGGAUUGAUUUAACAGAGUAGAGGUGACUAUGUUAGAGGGAUGACCAAAACGCUUGUGCCAGAGACUUGUGUUGACCUGUUUACCAAGAUAGCAAACUUGAUUAUUUUGAAAGAGAGAUUAUGAAGGAAACGAAAUGGAGAAAGGAAUAGGAUAUAACCCAGCUCUACACAGUCCCUUGAGAAGGACAUUUCCCAUGAAUUUGUCCUGAAUCCAAAAACCAAAAUCAUCACAAAUAAAUCGACAGUUGUUAUCUUUACACAACUUAUGAACCGAUAAUAAGUGUUGAGAUAGCUUAGGCACAUGCAAAACUUGCUUUAAUUGUAAUGAGCAUUGAUGAACAUCUAAAAUAAAAGAACCAAUAUUAGAAAUGGUCAAACUUGAACCUCCUGUAGUGGUAACAGUAUCAGAUCCUGAGAAAGGUGUAGCCAGAUUGAGUUGAGCCAAAUCAGAAGUCAUAUGUGUUGUGGUGCCAUUAUCAGCCAGCCAUAAUUGUUCAGGAGGGGAAGAAGAUGGAAAAUUGGCAUGCAUAGCACUAAGAUUACUGGAGGGAGGCCUGCCUUGAUAGCUGAAAUUACCUCUAUGAUAACAUUGAACGGCAGAGUGCCCAAAUUUUCAACAAAUUUGACAUUGAAUGGAAGUGGCAAAAGUACUUAGCAGAGUGUGGCGUUGAUAACAAUUAGCAGCUACAUGACCUUUUUUAGUACAAAUUUGACAUGUAGGAAUGUCAAUGCCAGAACCAAGAAUGCCAGGAUUAGAAGUAGGUGGAACCUAAUAAGGGCGUGGACUAGAUUGAUAAUGAUUACGUCCUCUGCCAUAACCCUUAAAAUUAAACCCCUGAUUGCCAAAGUAUCCUCCAGUAGAACCAUGAAAGCUACUGUGAUGACCAUUAAAUCCUCCAUUGAAACCAGAAGGAAAUUAAGAUGGUGGAGCAGACUUGGAGCUAGAAGGAUGAGAAUUAGAGUUACCUUUAUCAAGAGCAAGAGCCUUGCCAGGAGAUAUUUGAUGUUGAGCCAUCACUGCAGGAACAAACAGGGAAGCAGAAUAAGUUUGCUCAAGAAUGGCUUCUUCAGCUAGCAAUUGAGACCGAAAAUCUUUAAGGGAUAACACGUUGUCUCGGUCGCGAACAAUACACCUAAAGGUGUUAUAAUUAGAAGGAAGACCAUUGAGAGCCAAGAUUACAAUAUCAUCAUCUUCAAAAUAAACCCCUGCUACAGAAAGAUGGUCUCGAGCAUCUUUGAUCUUUUACAGAUAUUGAGACACAGAAUCUGAGCCCUUCUUGAUGGUUUGAAGCUCACUUUUCAUCUGAAAAAUAUGUGCCUUAGUAAUUGUGGAAAAUCUAUUCUUCAGUUGAAUCCACAUGUCAUGAGAGCUAACACAUUCAAUAACAUAGGAGAUUGCAGUUGAUGAGAGAGUAGCAAUAAUCAACUGCAUCAAUGUCCGGUCAUACAUUUUCCAAACCUGAUGAUCAUCAGUUUCAACACAUUCAAGGUCAGCAUCUGCAUCAAACCGAUUUGGACACUUUCUUGAUCCAUCAACAAAUCCUAAAAUACCAUAACUCUCAAGUAGAAUAUGCAUAUGAAAAUUCCAGAUGAGAUAAUUUGUGUCAUCCAGCUUGACUGUUACAGCUGUUGAAACUGUAGGAAGUAAACAGGUAAUAGGAGAUUGAACAAUUUAAAGUUGAGAAGUAGUCACCAUUUUAGAGUUCAAGAGAUAGCGAGGAAGAGAAUCACAUACGAUAGGCAUAGUCCCAGAUUUGAGAAGAGAGUUGAAGAAGAAUUUUUCAGUUUGACAAUAUAUCAAAUAGAUGAUAGGUAGAUCAAUUAUUAUGAAAGAAUUGGUUGAUUAAGGCGAUAAUAAUACCAGAAACAGAGAGUAGCAAGAUAUUAGAAGCAGAGAAAUCACAGGAUCACAAGAUAAUAACAAUCCUAAGCUCUGAUACCAUGAAAGCUAGCAAGAAUCAUCACAAAGAUGAACAGAGAAGUGAAUAGAAUUAGAGGGAGAUACUGCAAUGCAGAGGAAGAAGAAAAACAUUUCUGCAUAUAUUCACUUAUAUUUUUACCAACAUUGUUACAUACAUUCAUUUUAUAUGAACCAAGAUGAGAAGCUUGUUUACGUAAUCUAAUCAACAAUAACAGACUUUGUUAACUAUCUAACAAUAUUAACAAACUUUUUAACCAUUAUAUUCUUUAUUCUCUUGACAGGGCAGAAGCAGAGCCUUUGAUAUCUUGACAAAAGUAAAACACAAGGAAAUGCAUGCAUGCACACCACUAAUCUUUGAUUCUGGCGAGAACAGUGAUGACUACACUCUGAACCAAAUAGAAUUACAUUCCGAGAUGAAGAAAUUAAUAACACAGAGCAGUGCUAUAAAGCUACAUGUGAAACCAGAGAUUAAUAAGCAAUGCUGAAAAUUUUAUCAAGCAUAAGACGAGAGAAGCAUAGGACAUAUUUUUCCCACAAUUGAAUAUGUGAAUUGAGCACAGAUUUCCCUGUUGCAAACUGUUCCUAAUUUCUCAAAUGAUUAACUAGAAUACGAGUUGCACUUAAAAUUUUAAAGCAACAUAUAUGCUCUUGAUUUUUAGUGAAUUGCUGAAACAAACAUACAAGCUCGAUCACACCUCUAGAACAGAGUGACAGUUCAUGGUGACCUCAAAGACUGCAUCAAGUCCUCCAAGCUCUCGUAACUUUUCCCUAAAGCCCCCCCCAGUCUUCCUUAAUUACCAUGCCAGAUGUAUCUGAAUGAAUGCAACCCAUACAGUGAAAUGAAUAAGCAAUCAGAAAAGGAGAGAGAGAGAGUGAAAAAAUUUGUCACAAAACUAGAUAAUGGCGACCACAUAUCAAUAAUUCGAGAUAUGACGUGGGGCACUUUCAUCGUGAUUAUUGUUUGUCCAAUAAUGUUGGAUGUAUUAUUUCUUGUUAAGACUUUUUAGGUUGUGAAAAGUCCAAGAUGUAGUAUAAUAAAAUAAAUAUAACCUUUGAUUUUAUCAUUUAUAUUGAGCUGAAAUUUUGACAUACAAUUCUAAAGAUUUUGUGGUUAAAAUUUCAAGAUCUUAAAAAAAAGACCUUUAAAUAAGGAUUUAAAGUUACUAUGAGAUGGUCUUUAUUUACCUAUUUGGUAUUGUUUUUAUUUAUAUUAGGAAUUUUAAUUUAAUUAGUAUUUUAUUAUUAAAAAAUUCUAAUAAUAGAUUGAUUCUAUUAGUUAGGCAAGUUUUAAAUACAAUUUAUUUUUCUAUACAAAAUUUUAUAUCUAGAACAAAUAUAAAUAAAAAUAUUUAGUUUAUUUUUUGUUCGGGUAUUCAUAUUAUUAUUAAGAUUUUUUAAAAAUAUUUAGAGAUUUUUUUUUAUUUCGCUAUUGUGUUAGGACUAUAACCUUAAGGUUUGGAUGUUUGUGAAAGUGGAAGCGGUUACUUUUUAAAAUGUUUUUCACUUAGAAAUGCAUCAAAAUCAUAUAUAUAUUUUUUAUUUUUUAAAAUUAAUUUUUGACAUCAAAACAAUGCAAAAACACCAAAAAAUUAAUUUGAAAAAAAAUCAAAAAUUUUGAAAACCUCGAUCAAAAUGUUGUACCAAACACCCUCUUAGUUUUAUCUUAUUUUUAAAAAAUAAUUCUUGAUAUUAGCAAACAAAACAAUUUAAUAACACAAAAAAAUUAAUUUUAAAAAAUCAAAAUCUUAAAAAACUCUCGUCUAAAUGUUUGCUUUUAGUUUUAUCAUCGUUGCACUGCGUAAAGAUGCUAAAAAGAAAAUAGUUGAUAUAGCCACCUAAGUGCUGGUGGUGUUUCAGAGUGUAGUAGCGAUUGUUUUUUAAAGUGUUUUUUACUCGGAAAUGCAUUAAAAUAAUAUUUUUUUAUUUUUAAAAAAUUAUUUUUAACAUCAGCAUAUCAAAAUGAUCUGAAAAUACUGAAAAAAAUAUUAAUCUAAAUUAAAUAAAAAAAUAAAAAAAAAUCAAUCUCUUUUAAAAAUAUUUUUAAAAUGCAGAAACAAACAGGAUCUCUCAACCUGCUACAAAUAACUGCUGCAAUGGCCUUUCUUUAAUAUUUUACUUACACCAUUCUGCACAAUAUUUUCUUUUGUACAUCCAUGGAACCCUCUUUGCCUUCUACACAAAUUCAAAGCCCAUGCUAAAAACUACAAGGAAAUGAUCUCUACCUUUCUACAAGUUAAAGGCUUUUGGUACUUUCCGUCCUUCUUGGGAAGACCCAUCUCAGUUCAAGAACACUUCGAGCCUCAAUCCACUGAUAUAUUUGUCGUCAGCUUCCAAAAACGAAGGAAAUCUUUGGUUAAUGUUCUCUAAUAAGUACUAACACCUUUUCUCCUUCAACAGUGAAAUUUACGUGCCUUUCACACCUUUUUACGUUCGAACAUUUCAUUUGUUCUUGUGCUCUAAAUUCUAAAUUGAGUCUGUUUUUGUGAGUUCCAUUCUUCUAUUUAAAAGAUUAGAAAACGCAAGAUUGCAUCAAUGCUAAAUGCAAUUUCAAUAUCUGUGUGUGUGUCAAAUGCAUGGUGAUGUUACAUGAUGUGUUUGUUUUUACGUUUCAAAAAUAUUUUUUUAAAAUUAAAUUUUAUUUAUUUAUUUUUUAUUUUAAAUUAAUAUUUUUUAGUUUUUUCGGAUUAUUUUAAUUUACUGAUAUCAAAAUUAACUUUUUUAAAAUAAAAAAAAUAUUAUUUUAAUACAUUUCUGAGUAAAAAAUACUUUGAAAAGUAACUGCUACUACACUUCCAAAUAUACCCUUAAAAAAACAAAGUUAUGGAGUUGGAGGCUCUAAAUAUUCCUCAAAAUAUCAAGUCUUAAGGGCUCGGAGCUAUUAUCCAGUCUUAAAAUUUUUGCAUUUUAAAAAUAUUUUUAAAAAAAUGAAUAUUUUUUACUUUUUUUUAUUUUAAACUAUAUUUUUUUCUUUCUGUUUUUAUAUUGUUUUUAUGUAAAAAAUAAAUUUUAAAAAAUAUAAAAAUAUUUUUUUAAAAACAAUCACCAUACAAUAACAAAUAAAAUAUUAAUAUGAAAUAAAAUCUAAUUCUACCAGCAGACAGCUGAUAAGAAUACUAAAAAAGUGUAAAUUUUGACUUAAUUCAAUUAUUAGAAUUUGGGGCAGCGUAACAGUGUCAAAGAAAAUGUCAGAAAAGUAGGGCAAACAGUGCAAAUACCUUGGAUGAUGGUGACCAAAUAUUUGUAAUUUGAGACAUCUCGUUCUUGAAAAGAAAUAGUUAAUAGUGCCAAUAAUUUUUUUUUAUUAAUUUGAGGUGUUCAGACCAGUUUGCAUGCACCUCGACUAAUACUUACGGUUCUUGAAGUUAACGAAUAAAUAAGCCUCCAGUGGCCAUCAAUAUUAACAACUACAAGGCUCGAACUUGAGACCACAGGGGGGCAAACCCCUUGAUCCAAAACUCUUACCACUUGACCACCUACUAGAUGGUUAGUACCAAUAAUUAAUUUGCUCUCAACUUGCUACAAAUAGCUGCCAUGAUCACAUAUUCAAGAAACACUAGUUUAAGAGCUUGGGAUCAAGAGGUUUGCUCCCUCUGUAGUCUCAGGUUCAAGCCCUGUGGUUGCUCAUAUGAUGGCCACUGGAGGCUUACAUGGUCGUUAACUUCAGGGCCCGUGGGAUUAGUAGAGGUGCGUGUAAGCUGGCCCGGACACCCACGUUAAACUAAAAAAAAAAAAACACUAGUUUAUAAACCCUGAGGGGUAGCUCAACUGGUUAGAUUUUGAGUAUGUUUCCUAAUAAUCACGAGUUUGAGUUCUUUUAGGCCAACUGGAGGCUUACAUAGUUUUAAACUUCAGGACUCGUGAAAUUAGUAAAGGUACAUACAAAUUCAGUGGUGGAGCCAGAAAUUUUUAAAUGAGGAGGCAAAUUACUAACAAAUAUUUGAUAUUAUAUGCUAUACAUAUAUAUGUUAUAUAUAGAAAUGAAUUUGAAAUACAUGUGCCUCAAGUCAAGCAAAAUUAAUUUAAGAAUACUUUUAAAAUGAAAAAAACUUAUGUUAUAAUUGUUUUCUUCGAGAUUUUAUAUUUUAAAACUGCUUCAUAAUAAUUUUAUUUUUAAUUUCAUUAAAAAUAUAUUUCUCAAUAUAUACAACAAACUUUCAUUUAUCUAUUUCUAAAUCUUCCAAGUACUAGGAAAGUUGUUGACAACAAUUUUAUGCUGACAUAUGGUACAUAACAUCUAAAAUCAUAUCUUAAAAGAAUUGUCAUAAAUUGAAGUUGUUCUUACUGACUUGUUGUUUUGUACAAGUAGAUUAAAUAUAAAUAUUAAAUGUUUUUUUAAAUUUAUCUAUUAUGUCUCUAAUUUUUUUAGUUGUCUUAUACUUCAUUUUUAAUCAUUAGUAAAUUCAUUAUCAUCGUUUUUCAUAUGAAAUUCAUAACAAAACUUAUCAAUUCAUCAAAACUCAUUUCAAUUCAUAUCCAUUAGCAUAUAAUAUUACCCAUACACAUAUUAAUUCAACAAACCCAUAAAUUAUUAUAAACCCUAACAUUUUUAAUAACUAAUUUUUGGAGAUGUAGACCCAGUAUUUUUGGAGCUUCCAUAUCUAGUUGACCUAUCAGGAAGAGAUGAAGUUAACGUUUGGGAAUGCGGUGCAAACCAUGUUCCCCUAAAAUUAAAUUUUUUUUUGUUAAAAAUUAAUUUUUUGGUAUAUUUUGGAUCGUUUUGAUGCGCUGAUCUCAAAAAUAAUUUUUAAAAAAUAAAAAAACAUCAUUUUGAUGCAUUUCGGCACAAAAAAUACUUUGAAAAGCAACUGUAACCACACUCCUAUACAAGUAAAGUCUCUAACAGCACAAGUAUAAAAAAUAUAACUGCUGGGCAAACCAACUCUUUUCUCAAACCCAUCAGUUGCCUCAUGAUAUAUAUAUAUAUAUACACAUAUAUAUAUAUAUAUAUAUAUAUAUAUAUACACACACACACCAUGCAUAGAAUUCAUGGAUAAAAGAAAGGAAUUGGAUCUGAUUUGAGGUGGGGGGAUUGCCCCCUCUUGCCUUUAUGUGGCUCCGCCACUAUAUAAAUUAGUUUGGAUAUUUACAUUAAUUAAAAAAAAAAUACUGGUCUAGAAAAGCGAUCUACAAGGUGAUUAUUUAGUUGACUAAUUGAAUCUGUUUUUUAUAAAAAAAAUAUUUUAGAAGAUAAUUUUUAAUAAUUUUAGAUUUUUUUAUAUAUAAAUAUCAAAAAUAAAAUUAAAAAAAUAACAAAAUAUUAUUUUAAUAUAAUUUUAAAUAAAAAACACAUUUAAAAAAACUUAAUAGUAUACUCUCAACCAAGGUUGUCAAUUCCGUUUCGGUAGGUGUUUCGUUUUUUUAAUUGGAAUGGAAUGUUUCAGUUUCGGAGUGUUUCGGCGUGCCGUUCCGGGGUUGUACUGUUCAUAUAUAUAUAUUCAACAAACAUAAUUCAAAUUCAAGAUAAAUUAAUUAUAAAUUAUGCAAUACAAACACAAUGCCAAACAAAUAUAAUUUCAAAAUUUAAAAUAUUUCUAAAUAGUCAAGAUUAAAUAGAUCUUUACCUUAAAGUAAUUCAACUUAAACAAAAUAUCAAAAUAUUAUGAAAGUAAAAUGUUUUAACAUAAAUAUUUUAAAUAUAAAGUUAGGUCAAUGUUAUCAAGGCUAAUUGAAUCUAAAGCAUCCCUUGGUUUGCUCAAAUUUCUACAAAGUAUAAACAUGAAAAAAAAACAUGAAUAUAAACCUUAUAUAUUAGUGAUAAAUCUAAUUUUAAAAAAUUAAUAUCAUUGUUAAUGAAAAUAGUAAUAAUAAUUUUCAAUAUUAUUAUUAAUAUCAUUGUUAUUGAAAAUAGUAAUGAAAAAGAGCCUUUUAUAAUUGGGUGAUUUAAUUAAUUAAAUUGAACAAAAUUCAAUUUGAUUCAAUGGAUUUUCAAGAACGGAACGAAACAAGUGGAAUGAAACCGGAACGUUCCGGGUGGAAUUUAGCCGAAAAAUACAGAACAGACCGAGAUUUAAAAUAAAAUGAAAUUUAUUUUAUUUUUUAAAUUGGUAUGAAAUAUUUCGUUUAUUUCAUACGAAACAAAACAGAAUUGACAACUUGCUCUCAAGCACCCAAAAUAGAGGAUUCAAUUGUAUUGUGGGUUCCACACCAUUUAAAGCUUGCAAAGAAGGAUUUGAAACACAAUCACACUAAAGAUUUGCAAUGGAAUAUAAUAUAAAAUAAUACCCAAUGGCAUCAGCGGACAUGUAAUCAAUAAUAUUAAAAUACAGUAAAUUUUGAUUUAAUUCAAUUAUUGGAUUCUAGGCAGCGUGACAAUGUCAGAAAAUCUUGGAUGAUGGUGACCAAAUAUAUCAGUAAUUUGAGACAACACGUUCCCGAAAGGUAAUAGCUGAUGGUGCCAAAAAUUAAACCAGCUCUCAACUCGCUACAAAUAGCUGCCAUGGCCUUUCAUUCUACCUUAUAUUUCUUUUUUAACUUUCAUGGAAUCCUCUUUGCCUUCCUCCCAAAUCUUGGAUUCUGAUGGAAAUGCUGAGAGGAAAAAUGAAGCUAAAAAUUACAAUGAAGUGAUGUCCACCCUUCCAAAAGUUAAAGGCUUGAGGGGGGAUGAUUAUUACCUGUACCAAGGCUUUUGGUACGCUCCCUUCUUCUUGGAAAGACUCAUGUCUGUUCAAGAGCACUUCCAUCCUCAAUCCACUGAUAUAUUUGUCGCCAGUUUUCCAAAAACUGGCACAACUUGGCUUAAGGCCCUCACUUUUGCUAUUUUCACACGAUCCCGUUUAAGUGGUUCAACAACUAGUUCUUUACUUUCCAAGAUGCCACAUGACUGUGUUCCUUUUUUGAAUUAUAACCUUGCUCAAAACCCCAGUAAUCGGGACUUGACAAUUCCUCUGCUAUCUACUCAUGUUCCUUACAGUUGUUUACCUAAAUCUAUCAUUUCUUCUUGUUGCAAGAUUAUUUACAUUUGCAGGGACGCAAAGGAUGCUUUUGUUUCUUUGUGGUACUUUCAUGCCACGUUGCAAAGGUCGAAAAAUGUUGAGCCUCUUCCUCUGGAAGAGGCUUUUGAGCUGUUCUGCAAUGGAAUUGCAAAUUUUGGACCCUACUGGAACCAUGUUUUAGGGUACUGGAGAGCAAGCUUGGAGUUCCCCGAGAAGAUACUGUUCUUGACAUAUGAGGAAAUGAAGAAAGACACCGCUGCUCAUGUUAAGAAAUUAGCUGAGUUCAUGGGUUGUUCUUUCACCCUAGAGGAAGAGGAGGAAGGGGAGGUGCAAAAGAUAAUAGGCAUGUGUAGUUUUGAGAAGUUGAGCAACUUGGAGGUGAAUAAAAAUGGGAAGUGCCUUCUAGACAUAUCAAUUCCUAUUCCAAAUAGUAUAUUCUUCAGGAAAGGUGAGAUAGGCGACUGGGCAAAUCACUUGACACCUGAAAUGGGAGCACGUCUAGAUGACAUAAUGGAGCGGAAGCUCAAGGGUUCAGGCUUGAAGCUGCCCAGGUGACUGUGCCUGGGCCCCGUUUGCUUAUUAUUAUUGGCUUAGUGGGUUCGUCAAAAGCUGUUAUCAACAUCUCGUGAAACAGCAACCGUGUAUCCCAAUAAAUACCCUCUCUGUUCAUCUCUUGUAUUUCCUAGCAAGUAUUCACAUUUUGUGAAUCAUCCAUGUCAAUAAGCAAUAUUCUUUUGUGAAUCUGUGUUUGUAACUUUCAUUGAUUUCCUUGCAAGUUUGUAAGAAUUAAAAAUGGGAUUCGUUUUUUAUUUAUUUAUUUAACACAAGUGCAUGCAUUCCAUUAAUCAGUGAUAAAAAAAAAUAAAAUUACUCUACUAUAUAAUAUUAGAGUGUUUUCUUCACAGAAAUUGCAGUGUGUUUUCUUCACACUGCAAUACAUGUUUUAAAAGAACCGAGACAACCAUACAUGAGGGCGGAGCAAAUACCAACCGAGACAACCAUCCAUUAAGAUUGUUGAAUUGAAGAUCAAAUGAACAUAGGCGGCACAUCUGCUGAAAGGAUCUCGAAAUGCCUUGUAAUUGGUUAAAAUAAAGAUCAAGAUCUGUAGGAGAACUCGUGUUUUCCACUCCUAAAAUAAGCCCAGUUGCCGGCUUCAUGUGCAACAGAGGCACAUAGAGAAUCUCCCCCCCCCCCCCUCCAGGCUCAGAUCACAAAUCUUCUUACUUCAAACCAAUCUUUUGGAACCGAUAUAUAUGUCGAGUGAUGGCUUGAUUUAUACCGGAGAUUGUGUUGGAAAAUUAAAGAAGCAUGGCUUAAUUUGUACCUUGGAUGCGCAAAUUGAUUACAGGAAAAUAUCAAAAAAAAAUUUCCUUUCUUUAUAACUUAUGAAGAGUAAAAUAAAAAAAAAGUUAAUAGUAAAACAAAAUAACCCCAAGUGUACAUUAUCAAUGCAAAACUAGAUUUUUCCUUAUUUUAUAUCCCUUUCUUUUGAUAUACUUCUUCUUUUAUGCCCCUUUCUUUUGGUAUAUCUCUUCUUUGUAUCUUUUGGUGUUAAUCACUUUGUUGAAUGCCUCUGUUGAUAUCUUUUAUAACUCACUACAGUGAUUUGAACAUUGAAAAUGUUUCCUUUUAAAAAAAAAAAAUAGAGAAGGCAUUUUGAUUUCAUCUUCAAUUUUUCUGCAUGUCUUCUUCUUUCAAAGUAUUGGGUUUAAAACACAAUCAUGCUCUACAUCAUGCUUUGAGUUUUCCAGGUUAUUUUCAGAAAGAUUUGAUAUAUUUGACCUGAAAGAAAAAAAGGAUGUACAAAGCUUUGCAUUUCUGGAACGUCUUUUCAUCAUGCUCUACAUGAUUCAAUCACAUUGCUCACAUCUACAUGAGUAACCAGAAAAGCAAGUAUUUCAUCGGAUUCUACAUGAUUCGAUCACUUCGCUCACAGCUUUAUGAGUCUCUGGUGAUAUCGUGUUUAAUUAAAUAGAAUAUUUAUUAUAAGAAACAGAUUUAUCAAAUAUAAUUGAGUAUAUGCCUCAUCAUAUCAAAUAUUUUAAUUAGAUGUAACUAUCUAGGUGGUGGUUCAGUGGUAAAAGUUUGGGACCAAGAUGUUUGUUCCCUCUGUGGUCUCAGGUUCGAGCCCUGUGGUUGCUCAUAUGAUGGUCAUUGGAGGCUUACAUGGUCGUUAACUUCAGGGCCCGUGGGAUUAGUCAAGGUGCACGCAAGCUGAUCCGGACAUCCAUGUUAAACUAAAAAAAUAUAUAUAUUUUAAUUAGAUGCGUGUGUACAAGUAUUUUAAUUUAUGAUUAAGAAUUUUUUUAUAUCAAAAAAAAAUUAAAAAGUCUGUAUAUUUAUUUUUCCUUGUUAAAACAAUUAUCUGAAAUAGCCAGUAAUCAACUAACUAUGAAAGAUAAGAUUGAGAAUUGAGAAGUUUAUUUGUCAGCAGACAGUAGCUUCAGUAGAUGGAAAAAGACUCUCUAGAUCACCGGAUCAAUUCCCACCUUCAUGAACUAUUUUUUAUUAGUACAGAAAGCUUCAUAUCAGUCAAAACUCUCUCUCUCUCUCUCUCUCUCUCUCUCUCUCUCUAAAUGGAUCAGAGACUACACAAAUAUAGAGGUGGAGCUUCACAUUAAGCUUCAGAUCAAUUUUCUAUUUUAAAAUCUCAUAAGUUUGGUCCAUUGAUUGCCCUAGAUUGCCCUAGAUUUUCCUGUGUUUUAUAUCCUUUUCUUUUGACAUUUUUUUUAAUCUUUUUCCAGGCCAAAAUCCUAAUUUAAUGUUUGAAAUUGAGAUGAUAAUUAUUUAACUAGAAAAUAUAUUAAAAUAAUAUUUUUUAUUUUUAAAAAUUUAUUUUAAUCAUCACCACAUUAAAACAAUCUAAAAUUAUAUAAAAAAAUUAAAAUAAUAAGAUUUAAAAAUAUUUUUUAAACACAAAAACAAACACAAUCAUCACUCAUAUAUCAUGAGAUUUGCAUUUAGACAUUAAAAUUCAAGAAGAAAUUAAGUUCACCGUACUAUUAAUUCAGUCGAUGAAGGAUUAGUCCCAACUACUUUAGGCCACCAUUAAUUACUUUAUUUAAAUGUAUACUUCUUUAUUAAUUCAGUCGAUGAAGGAUUAGUCCCAACUACUUUGGGCAUUUUAACUCCAUCUUCAAUUACUUUAUUUAAAGGUAUCCUUCUUUCUUAGAUAUUGAAUUUUGAAAACACAAUCAUGCUAAAGAUUUGUCAACGAAUUGUUUUUUAAAAUAAAAAAAUAUUUUAAAAAAUAAUUAAUACCAUACUACCGAGCAAAUGAAGUUAUGUGGAGGGUUCCGCACCAUUUAAAGGUUGUAAAGAAAGGUUUAAAACACAAUGACGAUAAAGAUUUGCUAUCGAAUAUAAUAUGAAAUAAUAAUACCCAAUUGCAUCAGCGGACAUGUGAUCAACAAUAUUAAAAUUCUGUAAAUUUUGAUUUAAUUCAAUUAUUGGAAUUCCAGGCAGCGUGGCAAUGUCAGAAAAUCUUGGACGAUGGUGACUAAAUGUUUGUAAAUGGAGACGGCACGUUCGCGGAAGGUAAUAGUCGAUGGUGCCAAAAAUUAAAUCAGCUCUCAACUCGUUACAAAUAGCUGCCAUGGCCUUUCAUUCUACAUUAUUUUUUCUUUUUUCACAUUCAUGGAAUCCUCUUUGCCUUCCACCCAAAUCUUGGAUUCUGGUGAAAGUGCUGAGAGGAAAAAUGAAGCUAAAAAUUACAAUGAAGUCAUGUCCACCCUUCCAAAAGUAAAAGGCUUGAAUGGGUGUGAUUAUUACCUGUACCAAUGCUUUUGGUACGAUCCCUCCUUCUUGGAAGGAAUCAUGUCUGUUCAAGAGCGCUUCAAUCCUCAAUCCACUGAUAUAUUUCUCGCCAGUUUUCCAAAAACUGGCACAACUUGGCUUAAGGCCCUCACUUUUGCUAUUUGUACACGAUCCCGUUUAAGUGGUUCAACAACUAGUUCUUUACUUUCCAAGAUGCCACAUGACUGUGUUCCUUUUAUGGAAUAUGACCUUGCUCAGAACCCAAGUAAUCGGGACUUGGCAAUUCCUCUGGUAUCUACUCAUGUUCCUUACACUUGUUUACCUAAAUCUAUCAUUUCUUCUUGUUGCAAGAUUAUUUACAUUUGCAGGGACGCAAAGGAUGUUUUUGUUUCUUUGUGGUACUUUCUUGCCAGGCUGCAAAUGUCUGAAAAUGUUGAGCCUCUUCUUCUGGAAGAGGCUUUUGAGUUGUUUUGCAAUGGAAUUGCAAAUUUUGGACCCUACUGGAACCAUGUUUUAGGGUACUGGAGAGCAAGCUUGGAGUUCCCCGAGAAGAUACUGUUCUUGACAUAUGAGGAAAUGAAGAAAGACACCGCUGCUCAUGUUAAGAAAUUAGCUGAGUUCAUGGGUUGUUCUUUCACCCUAGAGGAAGAGGAGGAAGGGGAGGUGCAAAAGAUAAUAGGCAUGUGUAGUUUUGAGAAGUUGAGCAACUUGGAGGUGAAUAAAAAUGGGAAGUGCCUUCUAGACAUAUCAAUUCCUAUUCCAAAUAGUAUAUACUUCAGGAAAGGUGAGAUAGGCGACUGGGCAAAUCACUUGACACCUGAAAUGGGAGCACGUCUAGAUGACAUAAUGGAGCGGAAGCUCAAGGGUUCAGGCUUGAAGCUGCCCAGGUGACUGCGCCUGGGUCCCAUUUGCUUCUGAUUAUUGCCGAAGUGGGUUCAUCAAAAGCUGUUAUCAACAUCUCGUGAAACAGCAACUGUGUAUCCCAAUAAAUACCCUCUCUGUUCAUCUCUUGUAUUUCCUAGCAAGUAUUCACAUUUUGUGAAUAAUCCAUGUGAAUAAGCAAUGUUCUUUUGUGAAUCUGUGUUUGUAACUUUCAUUGAUUUCCUUGCAAGUUUGUAAGAAUUAAAAAUGGGAUUCGUUUUUUAUUUAUUUAUUUAACACAAGUGCAUGCAUUCCAUUAAUCAGUGAUAAAAAAAAAAAAAUUACUCUACUAUAUAAUAUUAGAGUGUUUUCUUCACAGAAAUUGCAGUGUGUUUUCUUCCCACUGCAAUACAUGUUUUAAAAGAACCGAGACAACCAUACAUGAGGGCGGAGCAAAUACCAACCGAGACAACCAUCCAUUAAGAUUGUUGAAUUGAAGAUCAAAUGAACAUAGGCGGCACAUCUGCUGAAAGGAUCUCGAAAUGCCUUGUAAUUGGUUAAAAUAAAGAUCAAGAUCUGUAGGAGAACUCGUGUUUUCCACUCCUAAAAUAAGCCCAGUUGCCGGCUUCAUGUGCAACAGAGGCACAUAGAGAAUCUGAAAGCAGUUUUUAUGCACUAUCAGCAGAAUAAUUUGAUCAGUCAGAAUGAUCCCCCCCCCACUAGGCUCAGAUCACAAUUCUUCUUACUUCAAACAAAUCUUUUGGAACCGAUAUGUGGAGGGAUGGCUUGAUUUAUACCGGAGAUUUUGUUGGAAAAUUAAAGAAGCAUGGCUUAAUUUGUACCUUGGAUGCGCAAAUUGAUUACAGGGAAAAAAAUGACAGAAAGUGAGUUGCAGGGAAUGAAAAAGGCAUUAGUAAACUCAACAGCUUGCAGGGCAUCGUUCCUUGGUUUACUCCGUUUUAUUUCUUAUUUUGUUUUUCCUGCCAUUGUCUUAUGUUUGUCUAACUCGCAGUCUGGUCUCUGCAGAGAAUGAGAAAGCACAGACUCUUUAAGAGAAGAUAUUCUCCGGCAAUGGCAUCAAACAGAAAAGUCCGACGUUAACUAAAUGAGUUCAUGGGUCUCUUGUCUGAAUAUAGAAGUGCAGAAACUAAGCUUGACCAAAAACCCCCAUGCUACCAACUACAACUCAACAAGCAACAAAUCAAAUGAAUUGUGAUCCGCCAGUAAACAGCGAAUGGACACUGCCCCAGCAAUAGAUCAUACAAGCUCUGACCAACCGGUCAAAGAUCACGAGGACCCUACCCACUGCCCACUGACUGACAAUUCAUCAAAUAGAUUUAUUGCCGUUCACCACCUUAUUUAGAUGUAUUUUUAAAUAAUAUCCGUGAACUCAAAAAAAAAUCACUCAAAUAUCUCCCUAGAAAACUGACCUUGAACUCUUAACUAGGAGAAAAACAAAGAGGAAAAAUAGAGCUUAUAACAUAGGAAACUACGCUGAAAACUGAGGUGAAAAAAAGUGUAAGAAAUUCUGUAAAAAUGUCCAGAAACACUUUUUAUCACUUUUUACAGAGGAUUUUGAAACCUAAACCAAUGUAGAUUUACUUUUAGUAAUUAUUAAAAAUUAAUUUUUAUCAUUAUCAAUCUUAAUUAUCCGUUAUAAAUUAAAAUUAACCUUAACCCUUUUAGCUUUAAAUAUAAUGCUUUGUUAGAAUUAUAAAAACCAUUCAAAUUGAAAAAAAUUGCUUAGGCUGAAAAAAGUGUUCAGACUCUAUAUUCAUUGACAGUACAAACUGAUGGAUUAGAAAGAAAAAAAAUAUAUAGGCCAAAAAAUUAUAAAUCCAAACCCAAGUUUAAAAUAUAUUGAUAAAAAUUAAUUAUUUAUAGUUUACAAUAAAAUCAGACUUGGGACAAGCAAGCCAAUUAAGCAUGGGACUUCAACUCAAAGUUUACUUUACUUAGGUUUUUUUUUUUAAUCUGAGUGUAUUUUAAUCCAAUUUUAAUUCUUUAUAUUUUUAAUAUAUAAUUAACAAUAAAAAUGUUGUUUUUUUUACGUGAAAUAAAGGUUUUGAAUUUCACAAAGAUAUAUUCAUCAACAAAAUUAAAUUUUUAUUUAUUUAUAAUUUAUUUUAAUUAUUUUAAUAUUUUAUGUUAAAGAGAUUUGGUUGGAGAAUAAGUUUCAAUAAAAUUUAAAUCCGAAAAAUAAGUAGAUUUUAUUUUUAAUUUUAUUUCAAAUAUAUUUAUUUUUUAUGUUUUAAAACAAAUUUUAUCUCAUCUAUGUAUGUAUAAAUAUAUAAUCACAAUUCUCAAUACAGCACUUAUAGUUAGUUAUCGAACGAAAGAAUGUUAUCUCUUUCAGUAUGCCACAGAUAUUCAAAACACGGCGGUCACCCUUAUUAGCUUGCAGUCGUCUAUCGAAGUAUUAUCGCCAAAUCCACAGAAGCAAGGCAAACCACAGUUUUCUCUAGUUAUAGGACUAGACGGUACUGCGCUAGACUGCAGGUUUACAAUAUUUUUUCGAUAAAAUAUUUAAAUCAUGAGAAAAUCAUGCAUGAUUAAAAGAGUAAAAUUCAAAUUAAAAAUAUCAAUACAUGACAAAAUAAAAUUAAAAAAAAUUAAAUAAAAUUUUUAUAAAAAAACUAGAAUAAAAGAGAGGACUGAAACCGAAAAAGUUUAAACAAAAAGGACAUACCUGCAAUUUGAGGGGGGGAGGGAGGAGGAGAAAAAAAAAGGUUCAUCAACAACGAACUGCUCGACCUUCACCUACAUGUAUCGCACCAUGAGAAAGAGGAAGCAGUGAUGCUUCCAACAACACAAUAAAAUGUUUAUUUUUACAACUAGAGGUAUUGCAUGCUAUACUUGAAGUGCUAGCUUUUUAAAUUUUAAUAUUAUUUAUUUUUUUGUUAAAAGAUUACAAUGCGCAAACUAAAAAGAAAAACAAUAUAAAAAGAUAAAGUAUAACCUUGACCUAAAGCUUUUCUUUUUCUUUUUACUUCAAGGAUAUUUAAGUAAGUUUAGUGUACAUUCAAAAGCAUUUAAUGAAAUACCCUUCGACCAAGGUUUUUUUUUUUUUUAAAGUAUAAGACACUUAACAAAAUAAUAAAUAACAAAAAUUAAAAACUUAAAAAGACAAAAAAUACCCUUCGACCAAGGUUUUUUUUUUUUACUCCAAAGCAUUUAAUGAAUCUCGCCCAUAACGACAGCAAGUCUUUAAAAAGUGGAUUUCCUGAUGAAACCUGGAUAGUAUCAGUGCCAGCUCGAGCUCAGAAUGCGGCAUCUAUUGAUUAACUUACCAGUUACCAACACAAGGAGACACACACAACAACUUUAAAAAGGGCAUUAUAUAGCUAAACAUUGAUUAUUAUUUUUAUUUCAUUUUUAAUAUUAUAUUAAUUUUAAAUAUAUAUAUUUUUAAUUUCUCCAUUCAAUAACAAGUUGAAAUUCAUAAUUUUAUUUAAUUCAUUUCUUAUAAUAAUUUUUUUCCCAUCGUUUAAUUAAAUAAAAUAUUUAUUAUAAAAAAUAAAAUUAUUAAACAUAAUUGAGUAUAUGGCUUGUAUUUUUAGGUUAAAUAUUGUAAUUAGAUGUGGGUAUAAGCAUUUUAAUUUAUAAUUAAAAAGAAAAACUAUAUCCAAAAAAGAAUUUAAAAAACCUGUAUAUUUAUUUUUCAAUUAUCUAACCUGCAGCAGUGAAGUGCAAUUGAAAUAGCUAGUAAUCUAACUAAAAAAUUUAAGAUAAGAUUAAGAAAUGAGAAGUUUAUUUGUCAGCAGACAGUAGCUUCAGUAAAUAGAAAAUAUAGACUGUACUGCUGCUGAUCCCGGGAUCAAUGCCCACCUUCAUGGAUUAUAUAUAUAUAUAUAUAUAUAUAUAUAUUCAAUGUGAGAUAUUAAGUCAUUUAGUACAUACUAGUUAGAUGACUUGUGCGGUGCUGCGAGUUAAUUUUUUUUGCAUAAAAAUAUAUAAAAAAACUAAAAUCUAAAAGUAUUAGGUCUUUUUGCAAAGUUAUACCCAAGAAUCUUGGGUUUGGCUGCAACGCCUGACCCAAGAGUAAUAUUUAUAAUAUUAAUUAUAACAUUAAACUUGCAUGACUCAAGUUUAAAUGAGUCUAGAUGCAAUACCAUACCCAAUAGUCUUGGAUGUGGGUCUGGCUGCAAGGUCGUGUAAUAAAAGUGUGAUAAUUAAAUAGAUUAAUUAAAAAUAAAAAAAACAAAGAAAAAAACAAACAUGAAGAAAAAAACUAAUGAAGAAAAAGAAAAAAAAUUUGAAUUAACUGGGUUAACCCUUCAAACCAGGUUAAUCCGUCAAACCUUGGAUUCGUGUCGUGAAAGUUUGAUAACUAAAUAAAAAAAAAAUGAACAUUAACAAACUAAAUUAAAUGAAAAAAAUAAUUAAAAAAAAAAGCAUCAGCCUUUUCACUGUGGACUGCACUGUGCAGUCCACAGUCAAAUGCAUAAAAACAACAAAAAAGCAAAAAGAAAAACUAAAGGCAUCAAUCGAUAACUAAAUAGAAAAAAAAUUUAAUAUUGAUGAACUAAAUUAAAUAAAAAAAAUUAAAUAAAAAGAAGAAAAAACUUAUAAGAAGAAAAAAACUAAUGAAGAAAAAGAAAAAAAAUCUAAAUUAACUGGGUUAACCCGUCAAACCUGAGAUCCGUGUCAUGAAAGUCUGACAACUAAAUAAAAAAAAUUUAAUAUCAAUAAACUAAAUAAAAAAAUUAAUUUAAAAAAAAGGCAUCAGCCUUUUCACCGUGGAUUGCACUGUGCAGUCCAUAGUGAAAGGCAUGAAAAUAAAAAAAACAAAAAAAAACUAAAGGCAUCAGCCUUUUCACUGUGGACUGCAUAGAAUAUUAAAAGAUGAAAUCGGAAGAACAAAACUAAUGAGGAAAAAGAAAAAAAAAAUCUGAAUCAACUAGGUUAAUCCGUCAAAUCAAGUUAACCCGUCAAACUUGAAAGUGUGAUAACUAAAUAGAAAAAAGAUUUAAUAUUAAUGAAAUAAAUUAAAAAAAGAUUAAUUAAAAAGGAAAAAAGCAAAGAGAAAAAAGACCAACAGGAAGAAAAAAACCUAAUGAAGAAAAAGGAAAAAAAUCUGAAUUAAGUGGGUUAACUGGUCAAACCUGGGAUUCGUGUCAUGAAAAUCUGAUAAUUAAACAGAAAAAAUUUAAUAUUAAGAAACUAAAUUAAAAAAAGACUAAUUAAAAAAAGACAAAAAAAAACUAAAGGCAUCAGCUUUUUCACUCUUAAAAAGGAAAAGAGAGAAAAAUAAAAACAAAAGCAAACGCCACGGGUUAAUUUUUUUUUUCUUGCAUAAAAAAUAUUAAAAAAAACUAAGAUCUAAGAGUAUUAGGUCUUUCUGCAAAGAUAUGCCCAAGAGCCUUUGGUUUAGUUGCAACGCUUGACCCAAGAGUAAUAUUUAUAAUAAUAAUAAUAAUAAUAAACUUACAUGACUCAAGUUUAAGUGAGUCUGGCUGCAAGGUCGUGUCAUAAAAGUGUGAUGAUUAAAUAUAUUAAUUAAAAAGAAAAAAACCAACAUGAAGAAAAAAACUAAUGAAGAAAAAGAAAAAAAUAUGAAUUAACUGGAUUAACCCUUCAAACCAGGUUAACCCGUCAAACCUGAGAUUCAUGUUAUGAAAGUUUGAUAACUAAAUAGAAAACAAAAUUGACGGGUUAACCUGUCAAGCCUGGGAUACGUGUCAUGAAAGUCUGAUAAUUAAAUAGAAAGAAAUUUAACAUUAACAAAAUAAACUAAACGAAAAAAAAUUAAUUUAAAAGAAAAAAAGUAAAAAAAAAAUUCUAGGUUAACUCAUCAAACCAAAUUAACCCAUCAAAUCCGGGAUCCGUGUCAUGAAAGUCUGAUAACUAAAUAAAAAAAAUAACAUUAACAAACUAAAUUAAACAAAAAAAAUUCAUAAAAGAAAAAAAAACACAGAAAAAAAACAAAAAAAACAUAAAGGCAAAAAAAACAAAAACAAAAUUAAGUGAGAAUUACUGAUGUGCUUUGCCAAGCUUUGCAACAGAAAUCUCAAGACAUUUUAAAUGCUAUGCAUUUGCUGACUACCAUAAAGACUUUAAUUCAGAAGUUAAGAGAUGAUGGAUUGGAAACUCUUUUAGAACAAGUGACAUCAUUUUGUAAGCAUAAAAACAUUGAAGUUCCUGAUAUGGAUGCUUGUUUUUCUAGUGUGGGACGAUCUCGCUGUAAAACAAAAUCAAUAACAGUUGAGCAUCACUAUCGAGUUGAUAUAUUUAUAGCUAUCAUUGAUCAAUAGUUGCAAGAGCUAAAUAAUAGAUUCUAUGAGCAGGCGAUCGAGCUUCUUAAGUUGAGCAUAGCUUUAGAUCCUAAAAAUAACUAUAAAUUAUUCAGUGUUGAAGAUAUAUGCUAACUUGUUGACAAGUUCUAUCCUGAAGACUUUUCUGACCAAGAAAAAACUCAUUUGAGAUUUCAGUUGCAGCAUUAUGAGCUUGAUGUACCCAAUCAUCCAAAGUUAAAGAAUAUGUCAUCGAUUGCUGAUUUAUGUCAAGGACUGGUUGAAAUAGAAAAAUCAACAAUUUAUCUACUCAUUGAUAAGUUGAUUCGACUUAUUUUGACUCUUCCUGUUUCGACAGCAACUACUGCACGAGCUUUUUCAGCGAUGAAGAUUGUUAAAACAAGACUUCGCAAUCGGAUGGAGGAUGAUUUUCUUGCAAAUUAUUUGAUUGUCUAUAUAGAAAAAGAAAUUGCUGAAAGAUUCACAAUUGAUAUGAUAAUCGAUGAUUUCUACUCCAUGAAAGAAAGACAAAAACAAUUAAAAUAAAUAUGUAAGAAUCAUUCUUUAUUACUUUUUAUUUUAUUUAAAAGUUUUAUCAAACAUAAAUAAUGUAUCGCUUUAGCUAAUGUUUCUUAUAUAUUUUGUAUGUUUAUAUUUGAUAGGUACAAAAACCAACAAAAUUAAAGUGAUGAAUACAUUAUGAAGAUGAAAUUAACUUCAUAGCUUUGACUUAAUUUGAUAUUUGCUUUAAACAUCUUAUCUUAUACAAAAAUCAUAAUAUGUUUGUAAUUACUUUUUUGAAUAAAACUAAAUCAUGUCGUUUUUGUUUUUGUUUUUAUUUUUAUUUUUAUGUAAAGUAAAUUUUUAAAUAAAUUAUAUCUUUUAUUAUUUUAACCCCCAUUCAAAUAAUCCCAGCCCCUGACCGCAAUAACAAUCAAAAUAAAAUCUAAUUCUACCGGCUGCUAAGAAUACUAAAAUAGUGUAAAUUUUGACUUAAUUCAAUUAUUAGAAUUCGGGGCAGAUAACAGUGUUGAAGAAAAUGUCAGAAAAGUAGGGUAAACAGUACAAAUACCUUGGAUGAUGGUGACUAACGCCGUUUGUUUACGCGGGCGCGGGUGCGGUUGCCUUUUAAUUAAUAAAUAUCGGUAGUUGGAGACUUCUUGUUCUCGAAAAGAAAUAGUUAAUAGUGCCAAUAAUUAAUCUGCUCUCAACUUGCUACAAGCUGUCAUUACUCAUUACCAAAAUAUUAAAGAAACAAAUAUUUCCUAUUAGUAGAAAAGCGAUCUAAUAAAGCGAUUGUUCAGUUGACGUUAUUGAAUUGCUUUUUUAUAAAAAGUUAAUUUUUAAAUAUUUAUAGAUUAUUUUAUAUAUAAAUUUAAAAAAAAUCUUAAAAAAUUUAAAAAUAUAUUUUAAUAUAAUUAAAAAAAACAUUUGAAAAACAAUUAAUAGUAUAGUCUCAGGUCUCAACCACCCAAAAUAUACAUUUGAAAAACAUUUUAUAUACCUUGGAUUAAAUUGUGUUGUAGGUUCCACACCAUUUAAAGCUUGCAAAGAAGGAUUUAAAACACAAUCACGCUAAAGAUUUGCAAUCCAAUAUAAUAUGAAAUAAAACCCCAUUGCAUCACCGGACAUGUGAUCAAUAAUAUUAAAAUACUGUAAAUUUUGAUUUAAUUCAAUUAUUAGAGCUUGAGGCAGCGUGACAAUGUGAAAGAAAAUGUCAGAAAAUCUUGGAUGAUGGUGACCAUAUCAGUAAUUUGAGACAGCAAGUUCUCGAAAGGUAAUAGUUGAUGGUACCAAAAAUUAAACCAGCUCUCAACUCGCUACAAAUAGCUGCCAUGGCCUUUCGUUCUACAUUAUAUUUCUUUUUUUACUUUCAUGGAAUCCUCUUUGCCUUCCACCCCAAUCUUGGAUUCUGGUGAAAGUGCAGAGAGGAAAAAUGAAGCAAAAAAUUACAAUGAAGUAAUGUACACCCUUCCAAAAGUUAAAGGCUUGAGGGGGAAUGAUUAUUACCUGUACCAAGGCUUUUGGUACUCUUCCUUCUUCUUGGAAGGACUCAUGUCUGUUCAAGAGCACUUCAAUCCUCAAUCCACUGAUAUAUUUCUCACCAGUUCUCCAAAAACUGGCACAACUUGGCUUAAGGCCCUCGCUUUUGCUAUUCUUACACGAUCCCGUUUAAGUGGUUCAACAACUAGUUCUUUACUUACCAAGAUGCCACAUGACUGUGUUCCUUUUUUGGAAUAUCACCUUGCUCAAAACCCAAGUAAUCGGGACUUGGCAAUUCCCCUGCUAUCUACUCAUGUUCCUUACAGUUGUUUACCUAAAUCUAUCAUUUCUUCUAGUUGCAAGAUUAUUUACAUUUGCAGGGACGCAAAGGAUGCUUUUGUUUCUUUGUGGUGCUUUUUUCCGCGCAUCAAAUGUCGAAAAAUGUUGAACCUCUUCCUCUGGAAGAGGCCUUUGAGAUGUUUUGCAACGGAAUUUCAGUCUUGGGACCAUAUUGGGACCAUGUUUUAGGGUAUUGGAGAGCAAGAUUUGAGUUCCCUGAGAAGAUAUUGUUCUUGACAUACGAGGAAAUGAAGAUAGACACCGCUGCUCAUGUUAAGAAACUAGCUGAGUUCAUGGGUUGUUCUUUCACCUUCGAGGAAGAGGAGGAAGGGGAGGUGCAAAAGAUAAUAAGCAUGUGUAGUUUUGAGAAGUUGAGCAACUUUGAGGUGAAUAAAAAUGGGAAGCACCGUCCCGUCCGGACACAUCAAUUGCUAUUCAAAAUAGUUUAUACUUUAGGAAAGGUGAGAUAGGCGACUGGGCAAAUCACUUGACACCUGAGAUGGGAGCGCGUCUAGAUGACAUAAUGGAGCGGAAGCUCAAGGGUUCAGGCUUGAAGCUGCCCAGGUGACCGUGCCUGGGGUCCCAUUUGCAUAUGAUUAUUGCCGAAGUGGGUUCAUCAAAAGGUGUUAUCAGGAUGUCGUGAAACAGCAACUGUGUAUCCCAAUAAAUACCCUCUCUGUUCAUAGCAAGUAUUCACAUUUUGUGAAUCUUCCAUGUCAAUAAGCAAUAUUCUUUUGUGAAUCUGUGUUUGUGACUUUCAUUGAUUUCCUUGCAUGUUUGUAAGAAUUCAAAAUGGGAUUCGUUUUUUUUUUUUAUUUAACACAAGUGCAUGCAUUCCAUUCAUCAGUUUGAUAAAAAAUAAAUUUACUCUAAUAUAUAAUAUUAGAGUGUUUUCUUCACAGAAAUUGCAGUGUGUUUUUCUUCACAGCUAUACAUGUUUGAAAAGAACCGAGACAACCAUACAUGAGGGUGGAGCAAAGACCAACCGAGACAACCAUCCAUUAAGAUUGUUGAAUUGCAGAUCAAAUGAACGUAGGCGGCACAUCUACUGAAAGGAUCUCGAAAUGCCUUGUAAUUGGUUAAAAUAAAAGAUCAAGAUCUGUAGGAGAACUCGUGUUUUCCACUCCUAAAAUAAGCCCAGUUGCCGGCUUCAUUUGCAACAGAGACACAUAAAGAAUCUGAAAGCAGUUCUUAUGCACUAUCAGCAAAAUAAUUUGACCAGUCAGAAUGAUUUUUUUCCCCCUUACUAGGCUCAGAUCACAAUCCUUCUUACUUCAAACAAAUCUUUUGGAACCGAUAUGUCGAGGGAUGGCUUGAUUUAUACCGGAGAUUUUGAUGGAAACUUAAAGAAGCGUGGCUUAAUUAUACCUUGGAUGCGCAAAUUGAUUACAGGGAAAAAAUGACAGAAAGUGAGUUGCAGGGAAUGAAAAAGGCAUUUGUAAACUCAACACCUUUCAGGGCAUCGUUCCUUGGUUUACUCCCUUUUAUUUCUUAUUUUGUUUUUCCUGCCAUUGUCUAAGUUUUUCUAACUCGCAGUCUGGUCUCUGCAGAGAAUGAGACAGCAAAAACGCUUUAAGAGAAGAUAUUCUCCGGCAACGGCAUCAAACAGAAAAGUCUGACAUCAACUAAGUGCGUGUUUGACACUCCGGUUAUGUUUACAUAAAAAACAUCGUUGUCAUGUGUUUGGUUACAGUCUAAACAUAAUUUUCUGUUUGUGAGACCCGUUAUCAUUUGCUUUUAAACCGCAAGAUAACCAAAAGCAACUUCAAGCUGCCUUUUGUGUUGAGUUGCAAACUUUAUAAACAAAGGCCACAAGAAAAAGAGCAGAAACAUAGCAGUGAAUAGUAAACAGUGGAGAGUAGCUCCCUCUCACCACCGGCAUCCACCGUUUCCACCGCCAGCCACUGCUCUUCCUCUUCCCCUUCUCCUUCUCCUUUAUCUUCUGCAUUGUCCACUGUUCACGUUGCAUGUGAACAGUGGAGAGCAGCUCACCACCGGCCUCCGCUGUUUCCACCGCCAGCCACUACUCUUCCUCUUUCCCUUCCCCUUCUUCUUCUUCUUCUACAUUUUCCACUGUUCACAUGAACAGUGGAGAGCAUCUCCACUAUUCAUGGCCGGAUUGGGUCUGACCCAAACCUAAAUGCAUUGGACUGGGUCCGACCAAGUAAAAUAAAAAAAUCUAAAAACAUUUCUUAGAUAUUGUGUUUUAUUUGAAAAACUAGUGUUUAAAAUUAUUCAAUGACACUAUAUAAUUAUAUUAGAAGGAGAUCGCAUGAUGACAUAGCAUUUGCAGAAUUUGAUUGCAAUCCCAAUUUUGUUCCUAAUGAUAUUUUACCUGAUGUGAUGAUAUUUUACCUGAUGUUGGUAUACGUUCAAGAAGCCAUGAAAACUGUAGUUCUUGUCGGAUGGAUUUCGUACGUGAUUGAAUUGCAAAUAGUUUAAUAAAACAAUAAAAAAUACUUUAUAUAAAGUAUUGUUUAUUUCAUGAUUUAAUAGCAGUAGUUAAAUCUAUAAUAUUUCAAUUAAAAACCAUCAAUAUUAAUAUAUGUUUUUUUUAAUUAUUUUAUAACCUUAAUUUGAAAAAUAUUCUUUAAACCAAACACAUUAAACUACUUUUUGUUCAACCUCAAUUUCAACCACAAUUUUAACCAAAUAUAUAUUUUUUCAAACCAAUCUCAACUAAAAGUAAUUUUUAUAAAACAACUUUUUCAAACUAUAACCACAACAGCUACCACAAUACCAAAUACACAUAAAAAAAACUGUAAUGAUAAGCAAGUUAAAGUGCCACCAUUGAUUUAGGAUCUGCUUUAGAUCUUAUAAGGUGAAAGUAAAACACAAGGAAAUGCAUGCAUGCACACCACUAAUCUUUGAUUCUGGCGAGAACAGUGAUGACUACACUCAGAACCAUAUAGAAUUACAUUCCAAGAUGAAGAAAUUAAUAACAGAGCAGUGCUAUAAAGCUAAAUGUGAGAACCAAAGAUUAAUAAGCAAUGCUGAAAAUUUUAUCAUGCAUAAGAUGAGAGAAGCACAGGACAGAUUUUAUCAAAUCUAUAGUUUUUCUUCAAUAAUAAUAAUAUUUUUUAAAAAUUUAAUAAUAAUAAAAAAAAAAAACUCAUGUUCCUUGGCUCUUUCUCUUGCCAAACUGAAGCUACCAUAGUCAAAUCCAAGUAACUUAGAUGUCACGCUCUUGCUAAACCCAAGUUAUUUGGGUAUGACAUCUCAUGCUGGACUCAUAGCAUUCCAGAUCAAAGGUGUUGAUAUCUAACAAUAAUACCUCACCCGAGCCCUAAGAUGUGAUUGCUUUUCUAGACCCGAGGGCCAAGGCACCAAGACACUAUUCACUAUAAGUCAAGUCAAUGAAUCAAUCAAUCGAUUUUAAAGAUCAAGUUUUUUUUUUAAUAGAGAAACAAAACUUUUAUUAACAUUGAAAUAACUCUUAAAAUCUUAAUAAAAUUAAUUUGAAGUAAAAAUAAUAUUAAAAGAAAUAUUCAGAAGCACUUUUUGAUUGUAAAAUCAAACACACUAAAAUCAUGUAGAUUUUCAUUUAGACAUUAAAAUUCAAGAAGAAAUUAAGUUCACAGUACUAUUAAUUCAAUCGAUGAAGGAUUAGACCCAACUACUUUAGGGCCACCAUUGACAUUGAUUACUUUGAAUAAUUUUAAUUUAUAGGCAUAAAAAAUUAAUACAUAUCUUUAAGAGGAUCAAUUUUAGAUUAUCUCUCUCUCUCUCUCUCUAUUUUUUUUUUGGUUUUCAAAUAUUUGACAUUUUCGUUUAGAUAAGCUCUAGUGUGUGUUUUUUUAAGAUUAUUUUAAAUCAUGUUUCUUGAAAUGUCAAAAACAUUUCAUGGAUUAAUUUAACUUAAUAACGCCAAAGAAUUAGGAAUUAAAACUGACAAUUUCCACCAUGUAAGAGUACCUAAUUGAAAAUUUACUUUCUUAUCAUUUACCUCAAUUAAGCGGAAGCAUGAUCAUGAGAAGGGAUUUGGAGAAAGAAUUAUAAACAGAGAAUAAGAGAAAAUGUAAUGUGUAUAGAUUUUCUUAAUGAAUUAAUUAUGAUACAACAGAAGCUCAUAUAUAUAUAUAUAUACAUUCUAAACUAAUCAGUUAUGAAAUGUUAUUACAAAUAUAAUUUGAAUUUCAAUUUUAAAAUCAUGAUUAGUGCAGGUUUAUCAAUGCAGCAGAAUAUCCAUCAUAAACAAGAAGUUCACAGUUACAAAGUUUGAAUCUUUGUAACUGUAACUCUCUUUUGAAACUCUCUUCUUGGUCUUCAAUAUCCGUUAGCUAGCUGGAGAUGUAACAGUUACAAAGUUUGAAUCUUUGUAACUGUAACUCUCUUCUUGGUCUUCAAUGUCUGUCAGUUACAAAGUUUGAAUCUUUGUAACUGUAACUCUCUUAUGCUUAACAUUCCCCUGCAAACUGAUGGGGAUAGGAAUCACCAUCAAUUUGGACCGUAAAAACAUAAACCUUGCUGUAGUAUGACCUUUGGUGAAGACAUCUGCAAUCUGGUCAUAUGUUGAAAUAUAUCGUACAAGAAUAUCCUUAUUAAGAACUUUUUCACGGAUGAAGUGAUAAUCCACCUCUAUGUGCUUCGUUCGGGCAUGAAAAACAGGAUUAGAGGCAAGAGAUAUUGCACCUACAUUAUCACACCAUAGUGUAGGAGGUGACGACAAUGAAAUGCCAAGAUCUUGCAAUAACAUUCGAAGCCAAUAUAGUUCAGCAGUGACAAGAGCCAUGGAUCGAUAUUCGGCCUCAGUACUGGAUUUAGACACAACACUUUGUUUCUUUGCACUCCAGGAUAUGAGAUUUUGGCCUAGAAACACAAUAUAACCACUUGUAGAUUUUCUAUCAUCAGGAUUCCCAGCCCAAUCUGCAUCACAGAAAGCAUCUAAUGUUGUUGUCGAUUGAGUGUAGUGAAUACCAUAAUCAAUUGUUCCUUUCAAGUAACGAAGAACUCUUUUGGUAGCAAUCCAGUGUGGUUCUCGUGGAGCAUGCAUGAAUUGGCAUAAUUGGUUCACUGCAUAGCUGAUGUCAGGUCUUGUUAAAGUGCAAUAUUGAAGAGCACCAAUAACUUGAUGAUAUUCAGUUGGAUCAUUCAAUAUCCGUUAGCUAGCUGGAGAUGUAACAGUUACAAAGUUUGAAUCUUUGUAACUGUAACUCUCUUAUGCUUAACAUUUGGGAGGCACUUAGAUUAGGCUCUUCUCUAGUCUUGAGAAGCAAAACCAAUAGAGACGUGAUUGCGCACUCCCUGAGCUAUAUAGUAAGUGGCUGCAAACAAAUUGUCAGCACCAAUUCAGGUCCGGAAAAUUAAAGCAUUGAAGCAUAAAAGGUGACCUAACCUAAUUAAGCAAAUUACUACUUAUUCCAGCAUCACCUAGGAGUGAGACAGCCAGCCCAUCCAGUGUCUACAUGGUAAGGGAAUAAUUCCUUCAAGAAUGCAGAGAAAAUUAUACUUGCAAUACAACUAUAAACGAGAUGGUACAGUGCGGAAGGCAAGAUGUUAAAUCAAUUGAUCUUAUUAUAAUACUGUGAAAUAUGAUCAGGACAAAAAAAUAAAUAAAGAAAGAAAGAGUUGUUUAUUUUACAAUGAUCGAUAUGAUGCUUCUUUGCAUGUGGAAUCUUCGUCAAAGACUUGUUGAAAAUGCCAAAUUGUGAUCCACUUUUGGCUGUGUCAAAUGCAUGGGUGGGGCUUCACACAGAGCUAUUACCCCUUGUGUAAACUCAACGCCAGUUUUCAUGAGUUCUUUGGGAUUCUAACAUAGUAAAAAAAAGAAAGAUAAAAUAACAAAGUGUAAAGAAUAUUUAGUGAAAUAGAUAUUCGUGAUUAAUCAGUAGCAAUUAUUAUAUGCUGGCUCUCUCGGGUUUACUUGACAGAAGAUUUAUUAAAAAGAGUUGAUAAAGGAGAAAGAAAAGAAAAGAAAAUCUUCAAGGUAUAUCAAAACUCUGAUAAUAAUAUUAUUGGUAUUGUUAAAAAAAUCUCGACAAGACAAAUCGAAAAAUAACAAUGAAGGUCAUCAAUGACGAUAAAAAUAAGUCAUACGAGUGGCCCAAGAUAAGUGAGUUUUAAUACUUUUGAACAGCUUGUAUGAUUCAUUUUAUUCACUAUUUAUAAUCUUUUUUGAUGCUGUUAAAUUCAUCUUGUAAUGAUGUUGAUAAUGUUAUCAUUAUAAUUUCAAUGUAUUUUUAUUUUUAUUAUUAUUUUUUGUUUUGCUCUCUCUCCUCUCUCAUUGUAAUUUAUGAAGAGUAAGAGAGGGGGAAAAAAAAAACCCUAGUCUUCCAAUUUAAUCUGGCUGAAUACUACUAUCUCAAUCUUAUUCACUACUUUGUCAAAGCAAAGUAGAUUUUUCCUUAAAUAAGAUCUAAUCCACCGGCGGAUAGGUGAUCAAGAAUAUUAAAUUAGUGUAAAACUUGAUUUAAUUCAACAUUAUAAUUAGAGGUGCUAUAAUAAUGUGAAAAAAAGAAUAAAAAAACUAGAUGAUGGCGACCACAUAUCAAUAAUUCCAGACAUCACGUGGAGCACUUUCAUCAUCAUUAUUAUUAUUGGUAUAAUAAUGUUUGUUGUAUUAUUUUUUAAUUGUUAAGUUGUUUACUAUAUGUUAAAAUUUCAAGAUCUUCAAAGAUUGGGAAGAUCGGAUCUAAAGUUACUAUGGGACUGUCUUUAUUUUCCUAUUUGGAUUUUUUUAUUUAUAUUAAGAAUUUAAAUUUAAUUAGUAUUUUAUUAUUUAAAAAUUUUAAUGGUAAAUUGAUUCUAUUAGUUAGGUAAAUUUUAAAUAUAAAUUAUUUUUCUAUACAAAAUUUUAAAUCUAGAACUAAUAUAAAUAAAAAUAUUUAGUUUAUUUUUGUUCGAGGAUUCAUAUUAUUAUUUAAAUUUUUUUAUAAAUAUUUAGAGAUUUUUUCUAAUUUCCUAUGGUGUUAGGGAUUAUAACCUUAAGGUUUGGUUUGAAAUAAUGAUGACAGUUAUUUCUUAAAGUGUUUUUCACUUGAAAAUACAUUAAAAUAAUAUUUUUUUUAUUUUUUAAAUUUUUUUUUGAUAUCAGCAUAUCAAAACAAUUCAAAAACACCAAAAACUUAAUUUGAAAAAAAAUCAAAAUUUAUAAAAACCCCGGUUAAAAUGUUUUACCAAACACUUCUUAGUUUUUAAUAUUAAUACAUCAAAACAAUCCAAAAAUAUUAAUUUAAAAUUUUUAAAAACUCCGGUUGCGUUUGUAAGAUGUGUUGCGGCUCUCAACUUGCUACAAUGGCCUUUCUUUAAUAUUUUAUUUACACCAUUCAUGGAACCCUCUUUGCCUUCCACACAAAUCCCGGAUUUUGGUGAAACUGCUAAGAGGAAAAAUGAAGAGCUUUCCAAAGGCCAUGCUAAAACUACAAAGAAGUGAUCUCUACCUUUCCAGAAGUUAAAGGCUUUUGGGACGUUCCGCUCUUCUUGGGAAGACUCAUGUCAGUUCAAGAACACUACAAGCCUCAAUCCACUGAUAUAUUUGUCGCCAGCUUUCCAAAAACGAAGGAAAUCUUUGGUUAAUGUUCUCUGAAUCUCUCCUUUUCUCCUUCAAGAGUGAAAUUUAUGUGCCUUUCGUACCUUUUUACGUUAGAACAUUUCAUUUGUUCUUGUUUUCUAAAUUGAGUCUUUUCUAUGCGUUUUAUUAUUUUAUUUAUUGGGUAUUUGAGAGUGUAGUAAUAGUUAUAAUUUAAAGUGUUUUUAUUCAAAAAUAUAUUAAAAUAAUAUAUAUUUUUAAUUUUUUAAUAUUCAUCUUUUGACAACAUCACUCCAAAACAUUAGAAAACAUAAAAAAAAAAAAAACAAUUAGAAAACAAUUAGAAAACGCAAGAUUGCAUCAAUGCUAAAUGCAAUAUAUAUAUAUAGGUGCGCGCGCGCGCGUGUGUGAGAGAGAGAGAGAUCCACCUGUGUGUGAAAUGCAUAGUGAUGUUCCACAGCGAGCCAUUAUCUAUUAUGUAAAAUCUCUGAGAAAUGUCAUAGAUCAAUUGGUCGAUAUAGCAAAUUGAUAGGUUAAAGCUGCUCAUAAUCAAUACCUCUAAAAGAUUAUCUUUGGUGGAGAUGAAAACUUUUUGAUAUGUAAAUAAGUAUUUAAAAAAAAAUUAAAUAUUCUAUAAAGAGAUGUUCUGAAAAUACAAAUGCAGUAGAGAAUUGGAGAUUGUGAAUCUUUAUUAUGAAGGUCUCAUGAUAUAUUUAUAGCUCGAAUCUUGUCAUUUUGUGAAAAUAAGAGUUUGCAGUGUAAUUAACCUGAUAACAUUUAAUGAGGAAUAAAUAUCAUUUACAUGAUGGGAAUAUGGUGGGUCCUCGAAGGAGUUUUAUACACCUUAAAAGGUAUCAGAAAAUUAGAGUUUAAGAUAUCAAGUGUAGCUGAGCUUAUAGAGAUCAAGUUCUUUCUUGAGAUUAAAUCCAAGGGAGGUUUGUCAUUCCCCUGGACAUGCCAAGGAAGAAUGGUUAUUAUCUUGGACUUGGUUGGUUGCCAAAUCCAAGCAUCUUGGGCAUGACAUGCGUGCCAGAUCCACACUACCUUGAAGUUGGAGCACUACUAAGUCCAAGCGCCUCGGGUCUGACAUGCAUGCCAGACUUAUACUACGCUGGACUUGGUGCAUUACUAAGUCCAAAUGCCUUGGGUCUGAUAUGCCUGUUAGACCUAUAUUAUCUUGGGCUUGACGCAUUACUAUAUUCAAGCACCUUGAACUUAAUUAAUUGUCAAGUCCAUGCAUCUUAGAUUUAGAUCUAACAUAUACACUAGACUCAUAUUACAUUGAAUCUAGCGCAUUACAAAGUUAUAAUGCCUUGAAUUAAGUAUAUGUGCCACAUCCAUACAUUUUAAAAAACCAAACGAAAACUAAAUAAAAAGUUGACUCAUCGCUAAUCUAUAAAUACUAUCUACAUAAUGGCCUUAGUUGAUAUCUUCUACCGCUUACUACAUUUACUUGAAUAAUGAAAAUGUUUUUUUUUUUUAAUGGAAAAGAGAUUUUAACUCCAUCUUCAAUUACUAUAUAAAUGUUUCCUUGGGUUUUGAAAACGCAAUCAUGCUAAAAAUUUAUUAUCUAAUAUAAAAUAAAAUGUAUUUGUUUUUAUAUUUUAAAAAUGUUUUUUUUUUAAUUUUUUAAUUUUCAUCUUGUUUUGAUGUGUUAAUAUUAAUAAUAAAUUUUAAAAAUAAAAAAAAUAUUAUUUUAAUAUAUUUUUUAAAUUAAAAAUAUUUUAAAAAAUAACUAUUACAACAUUAACGAAUAAGAUUUAAUAUAAAAAACAUUCUAAUUGCAUCAGCUGAGAGGUGAUCAACAAUACCGCAUUCCCGAACUUCACAUCCCUAUAUUAAUGGAUUGUGUUGUGGGCUCCACGCCAUUUAAAGCUUGUAAGAGAAACCACACCUCUAAAUAGAAACCACACGAUCACGCUAAAAGAUUUGCUAUCGAAUAUAAUAUGAAAUAAAACCCAAUUGCAUCAGCGGACAUGUGAUCAAUAAUAUUAAAAUAAGGUAAUAGUUGAUGGGCCACAAAUUAAACCAGCUCUCAACUCGCUACAAAUAGCUGCCAUGGCCUUUCAUUCUACGUUAUAUUUUCAUUUUUUACAUUCAUGGAAUCCUCUUUGCCUUCCACCCAAAUCUCGGAUUCUGGUGACAGUGCAGAGAGGAAAAAUGAAGCUAAAAAUUACAAUGAAGUGAUGUCCACCUUUCCGAAAGUUAAAGGCUUGAAUGGGUAUGAUUAUUACCUGUACCAAGGCUUUUGGUACGCUCCCUUCUUCUUGGAAGGACUCUUGUCUGUUCAAGAGCGCUUCAAUCCUCAAUCCACUGAUAUAUUUGUCGCCAGUUGUCCAAAAACUGGCACAACUUGGCUUAAGGCCCUCACUUUUGCUAUUUUCACACGAUCCCGUUUAAGUGGUUCAACAACUAGUUCUUUACUUACCAAGAUGCCACAUGACUGUGUUCCUUUUUUGGAAUAUCACCUUGCUCAAAACCCCAGUAAUCGGGACUUGGCAAUUCCUCUGGUAUCUACUCAUGUUCCUUGCACUUGUUUACCUAAAUCUAUCAUUUCUUCUUGUUGCAAGAUUAUUUACAUUUCCAGGGACGCAAAGGAUGCUUUUGUUUCUUUGUGGUACUUUCUUGCCAGGCUGCAAAUGUCGAAAAAUGUUGAACCUCUUCCUCUGGAAGAGGCAUUUGAGUUGUUUUGCAAUGGAAUUGCAAAUUUUGGACCAUAUUGGGACCAUGUUUUAGGGUAUUGGAGAGCAAGCUUCGAGUUCCCUGAUAUUGUUCUUGACAUACGAGGAAAUGAAGAAAGACACCGCUGCUCAUGUUAAGAAACUAGCUGAGUUCAUGGGUUGUUCUUUCUGUUGCAUUAAACUCAAUCUAGAAGGUUAAGGAAGGCAACCACCACUUGCAGCCACUAGCUGUCACCGCCUAGCCGCCAGCCGUCUUCAUACUUGAAAGUUGAAUUAUCUUGUUUUUGAAUUCUGUGUAUAAAUAGAUAGCUAAGUGGAUGUUAUUCUGUGUGGAAAGAGAAGAAAGAAACACUAGAGAGAAAGAGAGAGGGAGUGUGUAGCUUUUGUUUAAUUAUUGUAAGCUUUUAUUGUUGAAAUAAAACAGUGUGUUUUAUCUCUUCUGAGUGUUUCAAAGCCACCACCAGUGGUUUCUCCCACCAACAAUUGGUAUCAGAGCCUCGUUCGUCACAAAACACAAGUAUUUUGGGAGAUACACGAAUUUUCAAAGUUGUCAAAAACAAUUUUUGAUCAUUCCACAAUGUAGAGCUCAUCCAUACGAACUCACUGGUGCAAAAAUCAGCUUCAUCGGAGCCCGAGGUGAUCCCCACGCGCCUCCUGAAAUUCCGGUAACUGUAGCCCAGUCUCACCCACGCGCUCCAGAGGUUGAAGACGCCAGAGGUUGAAGACGAGUGUCGUCCACGCGCGCCAUAUUCGAGCCGAUCCCCAGCCGAGCCGAUCUUUAGCCUCAGCCGAGCCGAUAGAAUAUUCCCCAGAAUAUUCCCGGUUCAACCCCAGCGAACCGCCUAACGUCCAGAAUCGGUUUUCAGACCGGUUCAGCCUAUUUCUGACCCAUUUUCAUCCAAGUCAGGCCGGUUCCCUACUGUUUUGAGCAUUCUGGAUCCAUCUACGGUGUCUGUUUUGCCAAAUUCAACUCCCAGAAGGUGAUAUAGUCAUUCAAAAAGCAAAAUGACUACAGAAAAUGCACAAACACUCAUCCCGAAGCUGACCAAAGACAACUAUGAUAGUUGGUGUAUCAGAUUGAAGGCAUUUCUUGGUUUACAAGAGUGUAUAGAGAUUGUGCAAUAUGGUUAUGAUGAACCAGAGUCUAAAGAAGUAGAAGAUACUUUAAAUGAGGCAGAAAAGCAAGUCCUCAAAGCAAAUAGAAAGAAAGACAACAAAGCAAAGACCAUAAUCUAUCAAGGUCUUGACGAAGCUAUAUUCGAAAUUAUUGCUUCCGCAGAAACAUCAAAAGAGAUAUGGGAGGCUCUCCAACAAAAAUACAAAGGUGCUGACAGAAUCAAGAAGAUUCGUCUCCAAUCUUUGCGAGGUGAGUUUGAAUUAUUGCAAAUGAAGGCCUUAGAAUCUAUUUUUGACUAUCACACAAGAAUUAUGGUGAUAGUCAAUCAGAUGAGAAGAAAUGGAGAAGCCCUCACAGAUGCUCGGAUUACAGAGAAAAUUUUGAGAUCCCUAUAUCCAAAAUUUUAUUUUGUUGUUGUCGUUAUUGAAGAGUCCAAAGAAGUGGACAAGUUGAUGGUGGAUGAGCUUAUGAGUUCUUUGCAAGCUCAUGAGCAAAAGAUCGUGAAAAGAAAUGGAGAUAAGGCAAUUGAGCAUGCCUUACAAGCAAAGUUGUCUCUCAAAGACAGAUAUGAGCAAGGGGAGACUUCAAUAAGUGGAUAUACCACUCAAGGAAGAAGUCCACAAAGACGAGGAGGAUUUCAGCAAUUCCAAGGAAGAGGAUCUUGGAAUACAGGUUUUAGAGGAAGAGGUGGCAGAUAUACCACUAGAGGAGGCCGAGGACAACAAUCAUUCACUCCUAAAGGAAGAGGAGGCGGUUACAAUAACCGUGACAAGAGGAAUAUCCAGUGUUAUAAGUGCAAUCAAUUUGGGCACUAUAGCAUUGAAUGUCAAAGGAAAGCUCCAUUAGAGGUACGUGAGCAUGCAAACUAUGCAGAGGAGGAUGCCAACAGCAGAGGAGCAGCUGCAUUAUUUGUCCAACAAGGACUUGACAAGAAUCAAGAGAAUAUUUGGUAUCUUGAUUCUGGAGCCAGCAAUCACAUGUGUGGCCAACGAGAUCUAUUUGGCGAUCUAGAUGAGACCAUACAAGGUCUAGUCACCUUUGGAGAUACAUCAAAAGUUCCAUUCAAAGGUAAAGGCAACAUCCCAAUCAAGUUGAAGAAUGGCGAUCAUAGCUACAUCGCCAAUGUCUACUAUGUCCCAGCCAUAAAGCAAAACUUGGUGAGCAUAGGUCAACUUCUAAAGAAAGGUUAUACACUUUUCAUGAAGAAUUGUCAUCUGACAGUUACAGACUACAAUGGGAGAUUAAUUGCCUAUGUGAAAAUGUCCAAGAAUAGGAUGUUUCCUUUAAACAUCCAAUAUGAUGCAGCAAAGUAUUUGAGUGCCAUCACCAACAGUGAAGAGUGGCUUUGGCACCUGAGGCUUGGACAUCUGAAUUUCACAAGUCUGAAGAUGCUAGCAAGCAAGAAGAUGGUCAAAGGUAUGCCCCACAUUGAUCAUCCAGAUGAAGUCUGUGAGAGUUGUGUCCUCAGCAAACAUCACAGAUCCAAUUUUGCCAAAGAAGUCAACUGGAAAGCAAACAAGCCACUGGAGUUAGUGCACACAGAUGUGUGUGGUCCCAUAAAGCCUAUGUCGACUGGACCAAAUAGGUACUUCCUUACUUUCAUUGAUGAUUUUAGCAGAAAGACGUGGAUAUACUUUCUGAAGAGGAAGUUAGAAGUGUUCAAUUGUUUUAAAGAUUUUAAAGCAAUUGUUGAGAAGCAAAGUGGCUAUAAGAUCAGAACCGUGAGAUCUGAUCAAGGUGGAGAAUAUACAGCAAAUGACUUUGAAGCCUUUUGUACACAACAAGGCAUCAAACAUCAGACAACACCAGCUUAUACACCACAGCUGAAUGGUGUAGCUGAAAGAAAGAAUCGAACGAUUCUUGACAUGGCGAGAAGUCUACUCAAAGCAAAGAAGCUGCCCAAACAAUACUAGGCUGAAGCUGUAUCAUGUGCAGUGUAUCUACUGAAUCGCUGCCCAACCAAAAGUUUGCAAGCUGUCACUCCACAAGAAGCAUGGAGUGGUCACAAACCAAGUGUUACUCAUCUUCGAGUCUUUGGUUGUGUGGCAUAUGCAAAGAUCCCAGAUGCAAGAAGGACCAAACUCGAUGAUAAAAGCGAGAAAUGCAUCUUUGUCGGAUAUGGUGAGAGAAAGAUGGGAUACAAGCUGUAUAAUCUCAUCACAAAGAAGGUAAUUAUGAGUAGAGAUGUUAUCUUUGAAGAAGAUAAAACAUGGCAAUGGAAGGAUGACCAAGAAGCAGUCAAAUGGAUCAGCACUGAUUUGAUCCUUGAAGAUGAAGUGGAAGUACCACCAGUACUUGCAGAAGGUCUGAUAUUACCGGCAGAUGAGCCACAAAGUUCGGUACACAGAUUCCCUGUAUUCAACAGGAGAAACACACCAGAAUCAUCAUCAGCAUCCUCAUCAGAAGGACCAAGAAGGAUGAGAAAUCUAGACGAGUUGUACGAUGUCAUGCAAGUCAUGGAAGAUACAACUCUAUUUUGUUUCUUUACAGAUACUGACCCACUUAGCUUCAAUGAAGUUAUCAAAGAAGAGAAGUGGAUAUAAGCAAUGGAUGAAGAAAUACAUGCUAUUGAGAAGAAUGACACCUGGAAGCUGACUAAUCUACUAGAAAACAAGAAAGCAAUAGGUGCCAAAUGGGUCUAUAAGACAAAGAAGAAUGCAAAAGGAGAAGUGCAAAGAUACAAAGCAAGAUUAGUAGCAAAAGGCUACAAAUAAAGAGAAGGCAUUGACUAUGGAGAAGUAUUUGCUCCAGUAGCCCGGCUAGAGACAAUCAGACUGAUGAUCUCACUAGCUGCACAACAUAGAUGGAAGAUCUAUUAACUCGAUGUGAAGUCAGCAUUUCUGAAUGGCUUCCUAGAAGAAGAGAUCUAUGUUGAACAACCACUUGGAUACAUCGAAGCUGAAAAUGACGGCAAAGUAUACAAGUUGAAGAAAGCUCUCUACGGUUUGAAGCAAGUUCCGCGUGCUUGGAAUACCAGAAUUGACAGGUAUUUUCAAGAAAAUGAAUUUGAAAAAUGUCCAUAUGAACACGCAAUAUAUGUGAAGAAAGAAGCAGAUAACAACAUAUUAUUUGUGUGCCUAUAUGUUGAUGAUUUGCUAUUCACCGGCAACAACCCAACCAUGUUUGAAGCCUUCAAGAAAAGCAUGGUACAAGAGUUUGAGAUGACAGACAUUGGUCUGAUGGCACACUUUCUUGGCUUAGAAGUGGUGCAGAAAGAAGAAGGGAUUUUUGUAUCCCAAAGCAGUUAUGCCAAAGACAUUCUUGAAAGGUUCAAGAUGGAAAGCUGCAAUCCGGUAUCAACUCCAGUUGAGAAUGGAGUAGAAUUGAGGAAGAGUAAAGUUGGAAAUGUUGAUCCAACUUACUUCAAAAGCUUAGUAGGAAGCUUAAGGUACUUGACAUGUACCAGACCGGAUAUACUCUACGGAGUUGGUCUUAUCAGCAGAUACAUGGAGACACCAGACCAGUCUCACUUGAAUGCAGCCAAGAGAAUUCUUCGCUACAUCAAAGGAACAAUCAAUGAAGGUAUGUUUUAUACCUCAAGUACAAACUUCAAUCUUGUUGGCUACUCGGAUAGUGAUUGGGGUAGAGAUCUGGAUGAAAGGAAAAGCACAACAGGGUUUGUCUUUUUCAUGGGAAAUACAUUUUUCACAUGGUCAUCCAAGAAGCAAUCGAUAGUAACGUUAUCAAGCUGUGAAGCUGAGUAUGUUGCUGCCAACUCAGCUGUAUGCCAUUUAAUAUGGUUAAGAAAUAUGCUGAAGCAUUUGGGAUUUCCUCAAGAAGAUCCCACAGAGAUUUAUAUUGAUAAUCGAUCAGCGAUUGCAUUAGCAAAGAACCCGGUGUAUCAUGAACGAAGUAAACACAUUGAUACACGUCAACACUUUAUCCGAGAGCAUAUAAAGAACAAAGAAGUCGAGCUGAUAUCCUGCAAGACAAAUGAUCAAGUUGCAGAUAUCUUUACAAAGCCAUUGAAGGGAGAAACAUUUAUCAGACUGAAGUUCAUACUUGGCGUGACAUCCCUCGAUUAAGUUUAAAGGGGGGAUUUGUUGCAUUAAACUCAAUCUAGAAGGUCAAGGAAGGCAACCACCACUUGCAACCACCAGCUGUCACCGCCCAGCCACAAACCGCCCAGCCGCCAGCCACUAGCUGUAUGCCGCCAGCCUCCAGCCGCCUUCACACUUGAAGGUUGAAUUAUCUUGUUUUUGAAUUCGUGUAUAAAUAGGUAGCUAAGUGGAUGUUAUUCUGUGUGGAAAGAGAAGAAAGAAACACUAGAGAGAAAAGAGAGGGAGUGUGUAGCUUUUGUUUAAUUAUUGUAAGCUUUUAUUGUUGAAAUAAAACAGUGUGUUUUAUCCCCUCUGAGUGUUUCAAAGCCACCACCAGUGGUUUCUCCCACCAACACUUUCACCUUAGAGGAAGAGGAGGAAGGGGAGGUGCAAAAGAUAAUAAGCAUGUGUAGUUUUGAGAAGUUGAGCAACUUGGAGGUGAAUAAAAAUGGGAAGCACCGUCCGGACACAUCAAUUGCUAUUCAAAACAGUGUAUACUUCAGGAGAGGUGAGAUAGGCGACUGGGCAAAUCACUUGACACCUGAAAUGGGAGCACGUCUAGAUGACAUAAUGGAGCAGAAACUCAAGGGUUCAGGCUUGAAGCUGCCGAGGUGAAUGUGCCUAGGGUCCCAUUUGCUUGUGAUUAUUGCCGAAGCGGGUUCAUCAAAAGCUGUUAUCAACAUCUCGUGAAACAGCAACUGUGUAUCCCAAUAAAUACCCUCUCUGUUCAUCUCUUGUAUUUCCCAGCAAGUAUUCACAUUUUGUGAAUCAUCCAUGUCAAUAAGCAAUGUUCUUUGUGAAUCUGUGUUUUUGACUUUCAUUCAUUUCCUUGCAUGCUUGUAAGAAUUAAAAAUUGGAUUCGUUUUUUUUAUUUAUUUAUUUAACACAAGUUCAUGCAUUCCAUUAAUCAGUUCGAUAAAAAAUAAAUUUAGUCUAAUAUAUAAUAUUAGAGUGUUUUCUUCACAGAAAUUGCAGUGUGUUUUCUUCAGUUAUACAUGUUUUAAAAGAACCGAGACAACCAUCCAUUAAGAUUGUUGAAUUGCAGAUCAAAUGAACGUAGGCGGCACAUCUGCUGAAAGGAUCUCGAAAUGCCUUGUAAUUGGUUAAAAUAAAGAUCAAGAUCUGUAGGAGAACUCGUGUUUUCCACUCCUAAAAUAAGCCCAGUUGCCGGCUUCAUGUGCAACAGAGGCACAUAGAGAAUCUGAAAGCAGUUUUUAUGCACUGUCAGCAGAAUAAUUUGAUCAGUCAGAAUGAUUCCCCCCCUCUAGGGCUCAGAUCACAAUUCUUCCUUGAAACAAAUCUUUUGGAACCGAUAUGUGGAGGGAUGGCUUGAUUUAUACCGGAGAUUUUGUUGGAAAAUUAAAGAAGCAUGGCUUAAUUUGUACCUUGGAUGCGCAAAUUGAUUAGAGGGAAAAAAUGACAGAAAGUGAGUUACAGGGAAUGAAAAAGGCAUUAGUAAACUCAACACCUUUCAGGGCAUCGUUCCUUGGUUUACUCCGUUUUAUUUCUUAUUUUGUUUUUCCUGCCAUUGUCUAAUGUUUUUCGAACUCACAGUCUGGUCUCUGCAGAGAAUGAGAAAGCACAAAUUCUUUAAGAGAAGAUAUUCUCCGGCAAUGGCAUCAAACGGAAAAGUCCGACGUCAACUAAGUGUGUGUUUGGUGUUGCGGCCGUGUUUACAAAAAAACAUCGUUGUCAUGUGUUUGGUUACGGUCUAAACACAAUUUUCUAUUUGUGGGACCCAUUACUAUUUGCAUUUAAACUGCAAGAUAACCGGAAGCAACUUCAAGUUGCUUUUUAUGAUUAGUUGCAAACUAUGUUAUAAACAGAGGCCACAAGAAAAAGAGCAGAAAUAGAGCAGUGAAUAGUGAACAGUAGAGAGCAGCUGCCUCUCACCACCAACCUCCACCGUUUUCACUGCCAGCCACUGCUCUUCCUCUUCCCCUUCUCCCUUUCACGUGAACUGUGGAGAGUGGAGAGCAGCUCACCACCGACCUCCGCUGUUUCCAUCGCCAGCCACUGCUCUUCCUUUUCCCCUUCUCCUUUUCACGUGAAUAGUGGAGAGUGGAGAGCAGCUCACCACCGACCUCUGCUGUUUCCAUCGCCAGCCACUGCUCUUCCUCUUCCCCUUCUCCUUCAUCUUUUACGUUCUCCACUGUUAAUGUGAACAGUGGAAAGCAGCUCAUUACCGGCCUCUGCCAUUUUCACCGCCAGCCACUGCUCUUCCCCUUCCCCUUCCCCUUCGUCUUCUGCAUUCUCCACUGUUCACGUUGCAUGUGAACAGUGGAGAGUAGCUCACCACCGGCCUCCAUUGUUUCCACCGCCAGCCAUUGCUCUUCCUCUUCCCCUUCUCCUUCUCCUUCAUCUUCUGUAUUCUCCACUGUUCACGUGAACAGUGGAGAGCGUCUCCACUGUUCAUGACCGGACCGAGUCAAACCCAAACCUAAAUGCAUUGGACCGGGUCCGACCCAAUAAAAUUAAAAAAAAUCCAAAAAAAUUUCUUAGAUAUUGUGUUUUAUUUGAAAAACUAGUGUUUAAAAUUAUUCAAUGGCACUACAUAAUUAUAUUAGGAGAUCGCAUGAUAACGUAACAUUUGCAUAAUUUGAUUGCAAUCCCAAUUUUGUUCCUAAUGAUAUUUUACCCAAUGUGAUGAUAUUUUACCUGAUGUUGGUGCACAUUCAGGAAGCCAUGAAAACUAUAGUUCUUGUCGGAUGGAUUUCGUACGUGAUUGAAUUGCAAAUAGUUUAAUAAAACAAUAAAAAAUACUUUAUAUAAAGUAUUGUUUAUUUCAUGAUUUAAUAGCAGUAGUUAAAUCUAUAAUAUUUCAAUUAAAAACCAUCAAUAUUAAUAUAUGUUUUUUUUAAUUAUUUUAUAACCUUAAUUUGAAAAAUAUUCUUUAAACCAAACACAUUAAACUACUUUUUGUUCAACCUCAAUUUCAACCACAAUUUUAACCAAAUAUAUAUUUUUUCAAACCAACCUCAACUAAAAGUAAUUUUUAUAAAAACAACUUUUUCAAACUAUAACCACAACAGCUACCACAAUUCCAAAUACACACAAAGAAAACUGUACUGAUAAGCAAGUUAAAGUGCCACCAUUGAUUUAGGAUCUGCUUUAGAUCUUAUAAGGUGAAAGUAAAACACAAGGAAAUGCAUGCAUGCACACCACUAAUCUUUGAUUCUGGCGAGAACAGUGAUGACAACCAUAUAGAAUUACAUUCCAAGAUGAAGAAAUUAAUAACAGAGCAGUGCUAUAAAGCUAAAUGUGAGAACCAGAGAUUAAUAAGCAAUGCUGAAAAUUUUAUCAUGCAUAAGAUGAGAGAAGCAUAGGACAGAUUUUUCCCUCAAAUGAUUAACUAGAAUACGAGUUGCACUUCAAUUUUAAAGCUGAAAGAUGAAACAAUCAUACAAGCUCACACCUCUAUAACAGAGUGACAGUUCAUGGUGACCUCAAAGACUGCAUCAAGUCCUCCAAGCUCUCGUAACUUUUCCUUAAAGUCCCCCCCCAGUCUUCCUUGCCAUGCCAGAUGUAUCUGAAUGAAUGCAACCCAUACAGUGAAAUAAAUAAGCAAUCAGAAAAGGAGAGAGAGAGCUGUGUGAAUAAAGAAUUGUCACAAAACUAGAUGAUGGCGACCACAUAUCAAUAAUUCGAGACAUGACGUGGGGCACUUUCAUCGUGAUUAUUGUCUGUACAAUAAUGUUUGAUGCAUUAUUUCUUGUUAAGACUUUUUAGGUUGUGAAAAGUCCAAGAUGUAGCUUUUGAUUUUAUCAUUUAUAUUAAAUUGAAAUUUUGACAUAAAAUUCUAAAGAUUUUGUGGUUAAAAUUUCAAGAUCUUCGAAGAAAGACCUUUAAAUAAGGAUUUAAAGUUAUUAUGAGAUGGUCUUUAUUUACCUAUUUAGAUUUUUUUAUUUAUAUUAAAAAUUUUAAUUCAAUUAGUAUUUUACUAUUUAAAAAUUCUAAUAAUAGAUUGAUUAUAUUAAUAAUACAAAUUAUUUUUCUAUACAAAAUUUUAUUUCUAGAAUUAAUAUAAAUAAAAAUAUUUAGUUUAUUUUUUUGUUCAGGAUUCAUAUUAUUAUUUAGAUUUUUUAUAAAUAUUUAGAGAUUUUUUUUAUUUUGCUACUGUGUUAGGACUAUAACUUUAAGGUUUGGGUGUUUGGGAAAGUUAUAGCGGUUACGUUUUAAAGUGAUUUUUAUUUAAAAAUACAUCAAAAUAAUAUAUAUUUUUUAUUUUUAAAAUUAAUUUUUGACAUCAAAACAAUGCAAAAACACCAAAAAAUUAAUUUGAAAAAAAAUUAAAAUUUUUGAAAACCUUGAUUAAAAUGUUGUACCAAACACCCUCUUAGUUUUAUCUUAUUUUUAAAAAAAUAAUUCUUAACAUUAGCAAUCAAAACAAUCUAAAAACAAAAAAAUAAUUUUAAAAAAAUCAAAAUCUUUAAAAACUCCCGUCUAAAUGUUUCCUUUUAGUUUUAUCAUUGUUGCACUGCGUAAUGAUGCUCAAAAGGAAAUAGUUGAUAUAGCCGUACUUGGGGUAUUUAAGAAUGUGAUAGCGGUUACUUUUUAAAAUGUUUUUCGUUUAGAAAUGUAUCAAAAUAAUAUUUUUUUAUUUUUAAAAAAUUAUUUUUGAUAUCACCAUAUCAAAAUGAUAUGAAAACACUAAAAAAAUAUUAAUUUAAAGUAAAAAAAAUAAAAAAAAUUAAUCUUUUAUUAAAAUAUUUUUGAAAUACAGAAAUACUACGAGCUCUCAACCUGCUACAAAUAACUGCUGCAAUGGCCUUUCUUUAAUAUUUUACUUACACCAUUCUGCAAAAUAUUUUCUUUUGUACAUCCAUGGAACCCUCUUUGCCUUCUACACAAAUUCAAAGUCCAUGCUAAAAACUACAAAGAAAUGAUCUCUACCUUUCCAAAAGUUAAAGGCUUUUGGUACUUUCCGUCCUUCUUGGGAACACUCAUCUCAGUUCAAGCAAUCCACUGAUAUAUUUGUCGUCAGCUUCCAAAAACGAAGGAAAUCUUUGGUUAAGUUAAAACUCCUUUUCUCCUUCAACAGUGAAAUUCACGUGCCUUUCACACCUUUUUAAGUUCGAACAUUUCAUUUGUUCUUGUGCUCUAAAUUGAGUCUUUUUUGUGAGUUCUAUUAUUCUACUGUGUUUGGUUUAGCUUUUGUAGUUGAGGUUGUGGUAGGGUACAUGUACAAAACUCAACCACAAAAGCUAAUUUUUCUUGUUUUUUAUGGCUUUUUUAGUGGGUUCCACACUCAACCUCAACCUCCAUCUCAAAUACAAACACACACUAAAAGAUUAGAAAACGCAAGAUUGCAUCAAUGCUAAAAGCAAUUUCAAUCUCAAUGUGUGUGUCAAAUGCAUGGUGAUGUUUCAUGAUAUGUUUGUUUUGACGUUUCAAAAAUAUUUUUUUUAAACUGAAUUUUUUUAAUUUAUUUUUCGCUUCAAAUUAAUAUUUUUUGUUUUUUCAGAUUAUUUUGAUGUACUGUUGUUAAAAAUAAUUUUUUUUAAAUAAAAAAUAUUAUUUUAAUACAUUUCCGAGCAAAAAUCACUUUAAAAAAUAAUUGUUAUUACACUUCCAAACACAUCUUUAAAAGGACAAAGUUAUGGAGUUGAGGGCUCUAAAUAUUCCUCAAAAUAUCUGGCCUCAAAGCUAUUAUCGAGUCUUAAAGCUUUUGCUUUUUAUAUUGUUUUGAUGUAAAAAAUAAAUUUUAAAAAUAAAAAAAUAUUAUUUUAAUAUAUUUUUAAAUAAAAAAAUAUUUUAAAAAACAAUUACAGUAAAAUAACAAAUAAAAUAUUAAUAUGAAAUAAAAUCUAAUUCUACCAGCAGACAGCUGAUAAGAAUACUAAAAGAGUGUAAAUUUUGACUUAAUUCAAUAUUUCAAUUAUUAGAAUUUGGGGCAGCGUAACAGUGUCAAAGAAAAUGUCAGAAAAGUAAGGAAAACAGUACAAAUACCUUGGAUGAUGGUGACCAAAUAUUUGUAAUUUGAGACAUCUCGUUCUUGAAAAGAAUAGUUAAUAGUGCCAAUAAUAUUUUUUUUUAUUCACGUGACGGGUGAGCUUGUGUGUAUCUCGAUUAAUUCCCACGAAUCCUGAAAUUAAUGAUCAGGUAAGUUUCCAGUGGUCAUCAAUAUUAACAACCAUAUGGCUCGAACCUGAGACCACAAGGAGGAGCAAACCUCUUGAUCUCAAACUCUUACUAUUAGACUGCCUAUUAGAUGGUUAGUGCUAAUAAUUAAUCUGCUCUUGACUUGCUACAAAUAGCUGUCAUGAUCACAUAUUCAAAAAACACUAGUUUAUAAAUUCUAAGGGUAUCUCAACUAGUUAGACUUUAAGUAUGUUUUCCAAUAAUUAUGAGUUCGAGUCCUUUUAAGAUAAUUGAAGGUUUACACGGCGUUAACUUCAGGACCCAUAAAAUUAAUCGAGAUAUAUACAAGUUGAUUCAGAUAACCAUAUUAAUUUAAAAAAACAAACACUAGUCUAGAAAAGCAAUAUACAAGGUGAUUUUUUAGUUGACUAGUUGAAUCUGAUUUUUAUAAAAAGUAAUAUUUUAGAAGAUAAUUUUUAAUAAUUUUAGAUUUUUUAAUAUAUAAAUAUCAAAAAUAAAUUUUAAAAAAUAAAAAAAUAUUAUUUUAAUAUAAUUUUAAAUAAAAAAACAUUUGAAAAAACAAUUAAUAGUAUACUCUCAACUACCCCAAAAUAUAGGAUUAAAUUGGAUUGCGGGUUCCCCACCAUUUAAAGCUUGCAAAGAAGGAUUUGAAACACAAUCACCCUAAAGAUUUGCAAAUGGAAUAUAAUAUAAAAUAAUACCCAAUUGCAUCAGCGGACAUGUAAUCAAUAAUAUUAAAAUACGGUAAAUUUUGAUUUAAUUCAAUUAUUGGAUUCUAGGCAGCGUGACAAUGUCAGAAAAUCUUGGAUGAUGGUGACCAAACAUAUCAGUAAUUUGAGACAACACGUUCCCGAAAGGUAAUAGUUGAUGGUGCCAAAAUUUAAACCAGCUCUCAACUCGCUACAAAUAGCUGCCAUGGCCUUUCAUUCUACCAUAUAUUUAUUUUUUAACUUUCAUGGAAUCCUCUUUGCCUUCCUCCCAAAUCUUGGAUUCUGAUGGAAGUGCUGAGAGGAAAAAUGAAGCUACAAAUUGCAAUGAAGUGAUGUCCACCCUUCCAAAAGUCAAAGGCUUGAGGGGGGAUGAUUAUUACCUGUACCAAGGCUUUUGGUACGAUGCCUUCUUCUUGGAAGGACUCAUGUCUGUUCAAGAGCACUUCAAUCCUCAAUCCACUGAUAUAUUUGUCGCCAGUUUUCCAAAAACUGGCACAACUUGGCUUAAGGCCCUCACUUUUGCUAUUUUUACACGAUCCCGUUUAAGUGGUUCAACAACUAGUUCUUUACUUACCAAGAUGCCACAUGACUGUGUUCCUUUGUUGGAAAAUGACCUUGCUAAAAACCCCAGUAAUCGGGACUUGGCAAUUCCUCUGCUAUCUACUCAUGUUCCUUACAGUUGUUUACCUAAAUCUAUCAUUUCUUCUAGUUGCAAGAUUAUUUACAUUUGCAGGGACGCAAAGGAUGCUUUUGUUUCUUUGUGGUACUUUCAUGCCACGCUGCAAAGGUCGAAAAAUGUUGAGCAUCUUCCUCUGGAAGAGGCUUUUGAGCUGUUCUGCAAUGGAAUUGCAAAUUUUGGACCAUACUGGA